rnacentral:lncRNA from 1 species
AUUAUUUAGGUUACCUUAUGACCUACCUCAAAUUACCUUAUACACAAAGCUUUUGACAAUUUUAAUGACAAAACACACACAUAAAAAAAAAUGUGUUCGAUAUGAUUAUACUCGGUUUCUUUAUAAAUUUUUUCAUAUAUUUAUUGGAUCAUAUAGUGUCAGAUAUUAAUAUCUUCAUAAAUUUCUGAAAAUUCCAAUCCAACCAUCAAAAUUCAACGAAUGUAACAAAAACAAAAAGGAACCAAAUUGGACUAAAAUUAAACUUAGAUAAUUAAUAUUCGAGAAAUCAAACCUCAAUCUCAUUGCAUUCUUUUCUGCUUCCGCCGAUGCCGCAAUCGAUGCCAUGGCCUGCAACGUAAAAAAGAACAAGAAAAAGAAUCCCGUAAGCAAAAGAAAACGAAAAGGAAAAAAAGAAGCGUAAGCUAAAGAUCGAAAGAGACCGAUUGGGCACGAGAAGAAUCGAGCUGGCGAUCUUCGACACGAUCGGUGAGUUUAUCGAAGGCUUUACUCUGUUGCUGUAAAUCCUUAGAGUCAACGACUACGUCAACGCCUCCAUCUCCGGCUUCCAUUGUCGGCUAUUGGUUAAGCUUCAGAUGGUAAAAAGCCCUAACGUUGUUCGUUGAAUCCACCUGAGUUUUCAGUUGAAGAAACAGUGAUAAAGAGAGCGAUUAUCAAAUCCUUCAAAAUUGGAAACUUAUGUCGAGGGUUUUUCAAGGCCCGUCUUAUAAUUUCAAAUUUCAUUUUCGGCCCAUUUUCGAAAUUCAGGUCGGUAUAUUGGUUUUAUCUAAACUAAAUUGUUUUUUUAAUAAUCUCCUUAUCGCUUUGUCUCUUUUUGACUCCAUAUCUAGAAUUACCUAUAAUUAAGUGUGUUCAAACGGUCAGUUAACCGAACCGAAUUAUUAUUAACUGAACUUUCCGAAAUGUAAAAAUUUUUAACCGUUAAUCGAAUUGAAUUUUUUAAAAUACAUUAAUCGAACCGAAAUAUUUCGGUUAAUUCAAUCGAUUAACCAAAUUAAACGAAUUUUAUAUUUUUUUUAUUUUUUGGUUAAAAUAAUUAUAAAACAAAUAAAAAUAAUAGUUCAAAAAAUACAUUGCUAAUUCAAUUAAUUACCUGAUUUAGAACCAAAUUAACUGAUAAUCGAAAUUUAAAUAAAUCAUUUCAUUAACCGGCCUCCGAUUGAUUAACAAAAUUAAAUUGAUUCGGUCAGUUAAUUCAGUUUUAUCUAAACUAUGAACACCCCUACCCAUAUCCUCUCCCCAACCCAUGAAUACGAGGAGGAUAAUGCACUUCAAUGAACUCAAACUCACGUUCUCUUACAUUGACAACAAUGCCUAUACCGUUCAAGCUAAUACUCAUUUGGCUAAAACUUUUUCUUUCUAAAUAUUUAAUAAUUGUUUUUCCAUAAGAUUUACGGUAUUUGAUAAUCACAUUAAACUCCGACUAAAUUUAAAAUUAAAUUAAAUUAGACUUGUAAUUGUAAUUAGUGUAAAACUCUUCUUACAUUAUUUUUUCAACUCAUAAAAUUCCAACUUGAAAUUUUAUUUAUGAAAGAUUGAAUUUUUUAUCACUUAAUACAAUAAUAAUUAAUAAAAUAAAAAAGUGAAAUUCAAAUUAUGAAAUGCAAUAUUGAGAUGUCAUUUUCCACCAAAAAUGACAUAAUGGCAAUCAGCUAGUCGUAUGUUAUUUUCUAUAGCAACCUAAGUAUGUUGUUUUCAUUCAUUCAUUUUAUGUUGCAAUUGGAUGUAACACAACAUUCUUUCUAACCAUUUCAUAAUGUGUAACUUGUGAAUUUUGUUCUUUUUUUUUUAUUUAAAAAUUUUUGACAAAAUUUAUUAAUUUGACAUAUUGAUUAAGUUGCUCUCAUGUGACGUGAUAUAUGAUUAACGUGAAAUAAAAUAGUCACUUAAUUGAUACUUUGACCCAUAUAUACGGGACUAAUUUACUCAUUUUUUUAAUAAAAAAUAAAAUAUUAUUUAACUUUUACUACAAUGGCCUUUAUAAUACUUUUACUCAAUAUGUUUAUGUCUCUAUUAACGCAACUUAGGGGUAAUGCCUUUGUCGAACUUCUAUGUUAACAGUGCCUUUUUUACAAGUCGAUUAUAUGAAAGAGUCUAUAUAGUUCAACCUAGAGGUGCUCAUGGGCCGGGCGGCCCGGCCCGGCCCGACGGCCCGCCCGAAAUAUGGGAGGGUUUGGGUAAAAAUAUAGGCCCGAAAUAUGGGCUUGAGCAAAAAAACGAGGCCCGAUUAAAAAACGGGCCGGGCCUCGGGCACAACUUUUUUGGCCCGGGCCCGGCCCGAAUAUAAUAAAUAUUUUUAUUAUUUUUUAUUUUUUUAAUUUUAAAAUACUUUUAAAAUACUUUUAUUAAAUUUUUUUAAUUUUAAAAUUUUUUUAAAAUACUUUUUAAUUUUUUUUUAAUUUUAAAAUAUUUUUAAAAUACUUUUUUUAAUUUUUAUUUUAGUUUUUAAAAUAAAUUUUUGGUAAUUAUUUAAAAAACGGGCCGGGCCGGGCCCGGGCUUAUGAAAAUUUUCCCGGGCCGGGUCUGGGCAAAAUUCUAGGCCCAUAUUUCGGGCCGGACCCGGGCCUAUGACCCGGGUCAAAAUUUUUUUCAUGGCCCGGCCCGGCCCAUGAGCACCUCUAAACUUCAACCUUAUGGUUUUGUUGAUAAGGAAAGGUCACAUCAUAUUUGUAAAUACACAACUAUUUAUGGGUUGAAACCAGCUUCAAUGGUUUGAUACCAAGAAUUGAACAGUUUUUCGUACCAACACAAUCUCAUUGGUACCUUAAAGGAAUAAUUCAUCAUGACAUUACUAUAUUUAGCAUUUAGUGAUUCAGAUUGGGCAGAUGAUAUAACCUCAACUUCGACUCAUACAUCUACUAUAUCUAGGUAGUAAUCUCAUAUCUUGGAAAUCAUCAAAGUAAAAGAUUGUUGCUCAAUCGUCCACUGAACCAAAAUAUCAAGCACUUACCAAUGCCACUGCAAAACUCAUCUGGAUAAUUCUUUUUCGUUAUUAAAUUAGUUCCCCCCAAAAAAAAUUCAUUUUACACUAUUUUAAAUUGGUUAUUGUUUAAGGACCCAUAAAGGAAAUAUCCCUAAAAAUUUUUUGCUUUCUUUCUAUUGAAAAUUCUAGCCUUUAGCGUAGCUUUGUUGGCUUCACUGUAACUGCAGUUGCAGCCUUGCAUGGUUCCAAUUUUUAAUGUUCAUCGACUUCACGAAAACUAAAACCAAGGUCAUUCAUUGAAAUCAACAAUGUAUAGGCUUUUCGUUGCCGGCUGUUUCAAGGACUUUUCCUUUUGUCUUUUGUUCUUCUCUACUUUUUUUUUUUUAUUUUUUUUACAGUGAAUUGCAUUGAAAAUUGUGGAGGAAGGGUUGAAGUAGGUGAUUUACUUUUACUGUGACUUGGAUUUAACCAUUAUUGAAGCUCGAAAGCUGCUUCAUAUUCCCCAGCGCCAUAAAAUCAUGACCGACAAAAAAUUUGUAAGUUUGUGCUAGUUCCACUGAUUUAUGGUUCUAACUCCAAAAUAACUCAAAAUUUCCCAAAAGUUAUCUCCAUAAUUUUUUACCCAAUUUUAUGUUUUUUAUUUCGUUUUUUAAGAGAUGAAAUGCAGUCGUUUCAUGCUACCUGAUUUAAUUUUUUUUUCAAAAUUUAAUAUAAAUUCGUGGAAAUAUAUAUACACGUACUGUUACGGUCAACAUUCCAUUUGAUAUUUAAUAGAUAAAUAAUCAAAAUAAGAAAAGUUUAAUUUUAGAGUAAUCAAAAUAAAAAUACAAUAAAUUUAGAGUCACCAUUGAAGUAAUUUACCUUAAUUUAUUUUUGUUUGAAUUGUAUUUCUCCUCCACUCGAACACCAAUUAUUCAGUGUGAUAAUAUCAGUGCCACAUGCCUCAAUGCUAAUCUUGUUUUCCAUUCUCCUAUGAAGCACUAACUUUUGACUAACACUUUGGAAGGUAACAUGUUCAAUUAUGCCUAAUAUGGAUAAUGUUCAAUCAAGCCUCCCAUUGUUGGAGAAUGUAAUAUUCGCCAUAAUAGUGUUCAGCUGGGCUGCGAGUGCGAAGGGGUUAGGAUUUCUUUUUCUUGUAAGGAAUUAAUGCACAAUUACACAAUUUAGCGUCUAGAAAAGAGAGUAAGGAUCAGCUUAGAAUUGUUUUUAAGAAAUAUUUUCAGGAUAAAAAGCAUUAUUAAAUAGUAUAGUUUUGAGCUUUUCAAAAGCAUUUUUGAAAAGAAAAAAAAUACUUUGUAAACCACUUUUUUAGCCAAGAAUAAAAACAGAAAAUUUUAGCCUCAAAAAUAUUUUUUAGCUUAAAAAUACUUUUGAGAAGUAAUGCUAAGUAAGGAUUAAGCAAACAACGCUUAAGAUUGCAAAAUGAGUGUUGAACAUUUUGAUUUUAUGGUUGUGUGGCAAACGAAUCAUGUUGGGUGUUUUGCUUGGCGAUGGAAAUGUGAGAUGUUAUGCUGCUUGGACUUGGGAGGUAGGAAGCCCUUUGGUUUCUACUACUUCCCAAUUGGCUUUCCUUUCCUGCUUGCCUUAAAGAUUUUUUUUCGGCGUAAGACUAGAGCGACAUGGAGAUGGAAGCAUUCUUUUGUUUUUCAACGAUGAAGCAAGACUAAGGGUGAGUUUGGAUGGGCAGUGCGUUUACCUGCGGUUAGUGUAAAAACAGCGGUGGCUGUGAGAUUAGAUAUUGUAGCGAUAUUGUAGCGUGAGACAAAAAGGAAGCUAAACGCACCGCACCGCAUCCAAUUGCCUAUCCAAACCCACCCUAAGCCUAUGAGCUUAUUAUUUUAUAUCAGAACAAGUAAAUAGAAUCCUCUUUUACGUCCCCAAGUGGAGAAAUUAUUGAGGCAAUAAAAUAUAUGAUGGAAAAAAAAAGAAAUUUGUAGCAAUUGGGUUGGAAGAUACGAAAGAUAAACUUGGACCUUUCUUUCGUGGAUGAUUCGUUUUUAUUUGUUAGGAUCCAAUUGGUGUUUUUCAGAGUAGGCAUUAAUUGUAUUUAGGUGUUCUUCAUUUUAUUUUAGACGAAUUUUUGUUCUCCCUCCUAAGUAUUUCAUGAUUGACAUGGCAAAAUAUAUAUAUUCCAAUGAAAAUUAGGGUUUUCUUUUAGUUUAUAAUUGAUUCUAAUAUUUUGCAAACAAUUUUUUUAAAAUUCUUUUGUUUCUUUCUUUUAAGUUGGGGACAUGAAUCUAUCACCAAUUAACCUCUCUCAUCACUCCAAAAUAAUUUUCAAAAAAUGAAAAUAAAAGAAGGAUAUAGCUCUAACAUUGAUUUACUUAGUGGCAUACAUCGAGAAAGAAAAAUCAAGUAAUUCUCAACUGAUUCUCUUAUCGAUGACUUCAAUUUAAAGAAAAAUCAAACAAUACUGUUUAAAACAAUCGACUUUAAAAAAUAGUGUUAUAUUUUCUUUAUAAGUAAACUAUAUUAAUAUUUAAAAAGUACUAAGAUACUUUUAUAGUUAGAUCAUAUUUAUAUUUCACUCCCCUUAAAAUGAAAUCUUAAAUUACCUGUGCAUGUCAUCCCAUCCUCCUAUGGUCUCAAAUGGGUGUCAUUGGUGGUGACAGAUAAAAGAUUGUUGAUUUAGGAUUGUUUAGUAUAAGGUUGGGAUAAAUUAGUUAUAUAUGUCAAAAAAUAUAUUAGUGGUUGAUAACACUCUAGAAUAACGUAUUUUUAUGUAUUAAUUAUGUAUUUAUUCUGAGUAUGAUCCUGCUAAUUUGAGCUAUUUAUGAUCUUUUACCUCAUAGGGACUAAAUUUGAGGCAAAAGCAAAAUUAAGGGCCAAAAGCGUGAAUUUAGAGAUAAAAUGGGCCAAUGUGCAACACAAGGAAAAGUUUGUGCCAAAAGUGCAAGCAUGGAGGACACAAGGGUUGAAAUACAAAAGGAAGAGAUUUUAUUCUAUUAAACUCUAUUUUAAUUAUAUUAGGAUAAUUAAUAUUGAGAUAAUUAUUAAGGAUUAUUUUUAGGAUUUUAUUUUAUCUUUAUUUAUCUUCAAUUAAAUGUAUUUAUCUUUUAGGAAUUUAAGUAGGAUUAGACUAUCUCCCCUAGCACUAUAAAUAGGGGGUGAAGUGACUCAAAAGGGGAUCCCAUAUAUUUUUCUCAAAACACUCUCUCCCCAAAAGUUUAAGCUUUUGUUCUUCUCAUAUUUCUUUUUAAUAAUAUUUUUAUUUUUAUUUAUUUAUUUUCUUUUCUACCACAAUCAUGAGCCACUAAACUCAUCUAGCCGAAGGUUGUCAAAAAUCCCCAAAAGAGUUCAUGAGGCUUAGAAUCCGUACUUAGCCUCCUCGCUGAGUAUUCAUCGUUUCUCCGCACUAUGAGGCUGACGCUUCCGUCCAUGUCCCUUAAGAAGUAAGUUUUUCAACGUAUGCAAAGGCGGUCGCUUUGUAUGUUUUAGGAAGGUUGCACAGUCGGUUCGUUAGCUUAUUGUGUCAGAGGUUGGCGAGCCCAAGAGAAAAAAUGGUGUGGGAUUCUCCAUUGAGAAGCGUUGAUCUAGUAUAAGACGAUCCCACAGAAGCAAUUGUUGGCUAGAGUCAGGUUCCACUAAAUCGUAAGUCUAAAUCCUUGGAGCUGGUGGUCGUAGGCGUCCUCUUCCACUAUAACUGGCUUAUUCGGUUUGGGAAGGAUCAUCUAAAAGCCGAGGAUUGAACCCAAGGCAGAACGAGACAACUGGAGGCUGGAAUCUCCCAUAAGAAUUUCCUUUCUCUCAAUUCUAUUUUUAAUUUCUCUAAUUUUCGAUUCAAUAUUCUUAAAUUUGUUUUUAUUUUAUUUUUCGUUUUCAAAUCCAAACAUUUAAUUAUGUUAUUUUUUUAUUUUAUUUUUUUCAGGCACGCAAGUUUUCUUGGGCAAGAUUUUGCCUAGGAUUUCACAGAACAAGAUAUUUUGCAAGUCCAGUCCUUGAGGAUUUGACCCUACUUCCCUUUUACUAUUUUUUUCAUUAUUUAUUAGGGAUAUGAUAUUUUUAGUGUUUUCAACGACCGCAUCAGUGGUUAAAUAGGUAAUUUUAUUGAAAAUUUAAGAAAACAUGUCAUUUUUUAAGAGGGAAUGGAAAAGUGCGUCUAGUUGGACAUAUUUUCUCUUUAAAUCGCAUUUUCUAAAUCUUUUAAUAUAAUUUUUUUUGUUCAUAUGGUUAAAUGUUAGUGUUUUAUACUUAAGUCUCAGGUUCAAUUCCUCUCUUCUAAACACAUUUUUUAUUUCAUGUUGUUUCAAGCUUUUUUUUAUUUUUAAUUAAUAAAUAUAUUGUUUUUGUUAUGAAUAUCUUAUUAAGUAAAAAUAUUCAUCAUGAUCAAGAUAAAGUUUUGAUAUACUUUAAACUCUAUUAGUUAUUAGCAUUAAAUCUCUACUUCUUUUAUACUUCUUAUGCCUAUAAAUAGAGACUCUUAUGAAGCAUUGUAAUCACCCCUUUUGAUCAAUAAAGUACGUCUUCUAUUACGUUUAUAUUUUCUUUGUUCUUUAUUCUCUCCAUCUCUCUUUAUUUUAUAACAUGUUAUCAGCACAAUGAUUCUCUAUUUUUUUAAAAUCUUUCAAAUUCGUCCCGCAAAUCAAAUUCAUUUUCACUUUAAACUUUCUCCCUUACAACUUCAUCUUCAAUAUGUUGAAAAAUUCAAUCUUAGAAUGGAUCAUGGUUCUUAUUUCCAAUUUUUUAUUUAUAAUCAUACAAGUAUGGGUAAAGAAUAGAUUUGGUAAUAAACUUUUAUAUUUCAACCAUAUUUUUUUUUCAAUUAAGGUAUGUCCACUAUUACUUUUUAUUAAACAUAAAUUUCACAUUCUGAUGAUAUUUAACUUUCUUUUUCAACCAUAUGUUUUUUUUUAUGUAAAAGACAUAAUUGUGGAUUAGAUAUGUUUGCUAUUAAUAUGGCAUGUUUUUUUCUGUUUUUUUAAGCUUUUUUAAUUAAGUUGUAUUAUGCAUAAUAUUUAGAUGUUUAAAUUUUGAUUAUGAAAUUCUUGCUAUUAAAUAUUUUUGAAAUUUUAUUAAAAUUAUGAUGGAAAGUAUUAUUAACCUACCAUUUUUUAUUAAAGGGAAAUUUGAUAGGAACUAUUGAGUCUUAUUAACUUGAUAAUGUUAAAUGAUUGUAUGAUAUCUUUUAAAUUGAACUUAUAAAUAUUUUAUUAGAACAAGAUAAUAUUUUAUAAUAUAUAUGUAGUAUUGAAAUUUGGUUCAAUGUGUAUCGGAUAAUUUUCAAGCAUCGUACAUGAAAAUUUUGUUAUUAAAUUAUUUUUACUAUUAGAUUAUAAAUGUUAUUACGAAAACAAAAUUGUUUUACUACUUGUAAUAAUGCUCGUGAUAAUAGUCAAGGUGAUGACGAUGAUGUUAAAAAUCUUCAGGUAUAUUUUACUAUGUUUUAUUUAUAAUAUCAUGUAUAUUAUAAUUGGAGAAUAAUCAUGACAACAUGAAUGAAUAGAUUCUGAUUUAAAAUCUACACAUGUUUACAUGGUAAUUAUGAAAUAAAAAAUCAAUAGAGGCGUUUAAAAACCUGUCUACCAGAUUUGCUGCAUUUCCCAAAGUGAAUGUAGACAUAAAGAAAAUAAAAGAUAUACUCAUGGAUCACUAAAAGUGGGAAUAUAAUAAUAAAUAAGAGAAUAAUGAGAGUUCUCAAGAUAAUUGUAACUCCCCAAAAAUCCCUUAUAUAUCUAUUUUCGUAUAUUUGUGACAUAAAUACAUGUUUGCUUCAGUGGUUAAAUGUUUUGGGAAGUGUUUGAGAGGUCCCAAGUUCUAGCCUUAGCUUGAGAAAAAAUUUGUUUUUAAUUGAAUAGACUCCUAUCCUUAGCCAGUAGGUUUAUAAAUAAAUGUUAGUGAAAUAUAUCAGAAUGGGCCUGCUGGUCUGACCCAUUCUGAUGGAUAAGUAGAGUGGCAAAGCGCUAGUAGUCUUGAGUUCAAGUACUAAUGUGCACUAGGGAGUGUGUUAUUUUGCUGCGAGUGCCGUGUGGGUGUUUUAGUCUAACCGAACUAUUGAAGAGUUGGAGUGAAAUUUGAAUUAGGUGGUUGAGAGAGAGGUGGACGGUUUUUGGGGAGUGGAUUGAGGGAUUUGGGGAGAAAAGUAAGGAGUGGAGGCGUUUGAGUUGGACUAGGAUGCUCUGAGUGGUUGGAAUGGAUGUGGUUUAGUGGAGUAAACCAAGGAGUUUGGGGAGUUACCCUUUGAUUUCAAAAAUCUCUGCAGAACUCUCCUCUACCAUCUUUCAUUUUUAUUUUUUUCUCUGCCUCCAUAGUUGAAUUAUGUUCCUUUCUUCCCCACCCUCUUUUCGUUUUCUUUUGACUUCAAUCUUCCUAUGUUGCUAUCGAGAUUUCAAGUACUUUCCCUCUACCUGCCGAAUUUUCCCCUCUCCACCUUUUCUUUUUCUUUUGCUUUCAGCCGAAAUCCCCCAUUGCUGCCAUUUUCCCCUCCAAUUCUCUUUCUUUUUUGUUUUGUUUUGUUGCCAAAAUUUUAAGUGUUUCCCCUUAUAUUUCGUUUCGGUCUAUCUGGCUCCUCAGCUUUUGUUUCCGUGCGAUAACAAUAAGUAGUGUUGUUGUGUUCGUUUAGUUUUGGUUUCAAAAUAUUUUGAUUCUGUUGUUUGUAUAUAGAGGACGAUCGUGAAGCGGUUUUUCUUUCCAACGAAUUGAUUAGUGCCAGUAGUCGGGGGUGAUUGCGGUAAGUGAGUGCAUUUGGCUCGUUUUGGUAAUAAUUAAAUUAUGCUUUAGUUGUUAAAUGCAAGAUAGGGAACGCUGCUUGCAGGUUGCAGAAGAUUAGGAAGUGCUUAAGCAUCGAGAACGACCCAUGUGUGUAAAAAUAACUUUGAAAACGAGAAUCGAUGAAAAGCUGAAAAUGUGAUUGUCGACACCACACCGGCGUAUGGUCGCUCGUGUGGUAAGCCGUGUGACCGAACAUAGACGUGUGAUCAACGAGGCUUGCCAUGUACGAUACACGAGCGCGUGGGCCCCAUACGGGUAGACCACACAGACGUGUAAGAAUAUUGGGCCAGGUCGUGUGAUCCACAUGGCCAAGGCCAUUUUGGGUUGUGUGGGCCUACAUGGGCAUACAACAUGGGUUUGUGGGCCCAUUUUCACUGUUUGAUUGCUAAGGUCGCACAGGUCGCCCGAGUCGACUAUGGACCUACUGUAGGGUCGGUAAGUUUACCUGGACCCCUUAUUGACUGAAAUGAAUGAAAAACUGUUAUAUGUUUAUAUGAGAUAGAUAUGUAUGUCUGUAUGUUGAGCAUGUUAUUCGCACUGUACUGAUUAUACAUGAUACCAUGACAUGAUUGUAUGAUGCAUUGCAUUGGGUUGGGGAUUAAUAUUGAUUGGAGAAAGUGUACUGAAAGGCCUCGAGCCUAACUUACUUGCAGCUCAGCUGCAACUACUGCCUAGUGUCGCAUUCGGUACUUUUUGGAAUGUAAGGAUUGGUGGGUUGAUUAUAUCCCCACAUGGAGUGUAAGGUUAGACAGAGAUGGAGUGUAGUGGCUGGUUGGGUAGGACCUGUAUAUUGUAUAAUCUGUUACUGUACUGAUUAUUGUUACUGUAAUGGGUCAAGGCCCAAACACAUGAUUGCUUCUGUGCUGAGAUGGACUAAAGCCCAAACUGAUAUUAUCUUUGACACUGAAAAGGGCCUAGGCCCAGACCGUGAUUGCUUUCUGUCUAUUUGCUUUAUAUGGGACUACAUACUGAGUUUUUAAAAACUCACCCUUCUGAUUUGACUGUACAGUAAUCCCUAAACAUAGGCAGAUCGGUGCGACGGAGGACUCAGCGGUGGCCACACGACCUAUUUAAUUCGAUUUAGUACUUAAUUAUAAUUUCAGUUUUAUUUUAGGGGUAUUUUACUGUAAUAAUGGCAUCUCUGGAUUUUGUUAUGUUUAAUUUGGGGUUUCUAUUAUUUUGACUUACAACUGCUAGUAGUAGGGAUAAUCGAGUUUUCAAAAUGAAACAAACGUUUUAACAAAAUACGCACAAAUUGGCAAACUGUUUUAAAAAGCUUCCGCGAUAAAUAAAGUUUUGAAAAUUUAUAACGUUUUGAAAGAAAAUAACUUAUGAAUAUGAAUCACGUUUGAAAUUGAUCGACACGUUUUGGUAUUAAGCAAAAGAGAGUGUAAAUAAGUGAUAAAGAAAGGAGGAUUUUAACGACAACUCACUUUACGAAAAACACUUUCAUGUGACACCGCCAAAUUCGGUCAUAACGUCUGGGCUGAGUUUGGGGUGUUACAAUAACUUUUCAAAGGGUAAAGAUAACUUAUGUUAUCAAUGUGAUAUGAAAGAUUAUUAGCCACAUAUGUGGCGUAUGCCCAAAUAUUUUCUUUCUGAUAAUAUUCUUUGAGGAAUGAUAUGGAAAAUGUAAUAAUGAAUUUUAUCAUUACAGAUAGAAAAUAUUUAUCUUAUUUGGUACUGAAACAAAUAUAUAUUUUUUCAAUAUUUGAUAGUACAAAAUUAGUUGAAAGCUCCAGAAGAGUUAAUAUAUCAAUAUCUAAAGAGCACAAAAUUUGUGAUGGUUUUUAAAAGACAUUUGUAAUGGAUCUCAUAUUGAGAUUGUGAAUGAGGAAAAUAUUAUAUUUCAUAUGAAUAAAAAAGGGGAUUGGGUUAUUAAUUUAUAUUUAUUUUAUAAUCUUUGUGAUAUUCUUUUGUCAUCAUCCCUAUUAAAGGGUUGAAAACAAAAUAUUUGACUGUGAAAGAUUUACUUAUAAACAAUAGAAUAUGAUAAAUUUAUCUAAAACUUAUUAUGGUUGGAUGCACCUAAAGUUGCAAGUUUUUUUAAAAAAAACUGUGAGUAUAACUCUACAGUAUUCAGAAUAAGUUCUCAAAUAAAAUUACGUGGUAAAAUAUUACUGAUGAGAACUUGCAAGAGAGAAAACUUUUGUAUGAAAAGUCAUUGGUUAUGUACCUAUCGUACACCUAGAAAAUAAGAUCCACUCUCAAAGUUUGUUAUUAAUAGAUUUCUGGGCAUUUGAGAAUUUUGGCAUAUUCACUGAAGCGAAUAUUGCAUAUAAUUGCUUGGAAAUUAUAUUUAUUUUGUUGACUUAGUGACUUUAUAAUAUUCACAUUGAUUUAGACAUUUUCAGUAGUAAAUGUCACAAUAGCACUUAUAUUUGGAUACAAAGUAAAAUGAAUGAUAGUAAAAUUAUUAAUUUGUUACAAUUUAGUACAAUUGAAACACAUGUUAAAAUAAACUAGAAGUUUACUGAUACAAAUGCAUUUACUACUUGGCAUGAUCAAUUAGACCAUCCUGGAUCAUAUAUGAUGCGAAAAUUAAUUAAAAAUUCAUAUAGACAUUCAUUAAAGAACCAGAAGAUUCUUUAAUUUAAAAUAAUUCUCAUAUGUUGCUUGUUCUCAAUAAAAAUUGAUUAUUAGAAACUCACUAGCUAAAGUUGAGAUUUAAUGUCUUGUAUUUCUUAAACGAAUAUGGGUCCAUUCAACCACCAUGAGGAUGGUUUUUAUCAUAUGAUUUUGGUAGAUGCAUUUACAAAAUAAUCACAUGCGUUAUCAACUCACAACCUGUCGUUUGCGAGAUUGCUUGUUUAAAUAAUUAAUUUCAGAUUAUGCAAUUAAAACAAUUCAUCUUGCUAAUGCUGGUGAGUUUACAUCCCAAGUUUUCAAUGAUUUUGCAUGUCAAUUGUGAUAAAAGUUGAACAUCUUGUAACUCAUGUUCACACACAAAAUGAUUUAGCUGAAUUGUUAAUCAAAUGCCUCCAACUAAUAGCGAAAUCAUUACUUAUGAGAACAAAACUUUCUAUUUCAGCCUGAGAUUGUAUUGAUUUACAUAUUGUACGCAUCAAGCCAAUAAAUUAUAAAUACUCUCCAUUACAAUUGAUUUUUGGUCAAGAGUCAAAUAUUUCUCAUCUUACAAUUUUUGGAUGUGCGGUAUAUGUUCCAAUUGCUUCACCACAACGCACAAAGAUGAGUCAUAAUAAGAGAUUGGGAAUGUAUAUUUAUAUGAGUCUCCUUAUAAUAUUUUUGAGCUAUUAAUUCGAUAUUUAGUUAUGACAUGAGUUGUCAGUUUUCCUAACAUUAGUGGGAGAGAAUAAAAAGCUAGAUUAAUAAAAUACUUGAAAUGAAUUAUCAAUGUCUAAGAUCCUCAUACAAAGCAAUGUGAACCAAAAGUUCAACAGAUAAUUCAUUUUACAAAUUAACUGUCAGAUUCAAUAAAUCUCACAUACCAGUUGAAAAUGCUCCAAUACGAAUUGAUGUCCUAAUAGGGCAAACUGUUAAUGCAAAAGAAAAUAAUCCAUGCAUGAAGCGUGGAAGACCGGUUAGUUCCAAAGAUAAAAAUCCUCAUAAAAGUAAAUGAGCAAACAUUCAAGAUGAUUAUUUAGUGAAGGCGGGGGUUUCUGAAGAGACCCAUGACAUAACUAAUUAUAAAACUCAAAAAGAGAUUUAGGUACCUAAAAGUGAAAAUAAAAAUGAUGAAAAUAAAGAGAUCUCGAUAAGUUAUGUCAAUACGAAACAAAGAUAGAACCGAAAAAAAAUAUAGUUGUUAACAAAAAUUUUGCUUAUAAUGUUACUAUUGAAAUAACAAAAGAAAAUGAGGAUUUUGGGCCUAAAUCUACUAAGGAAUGUAAAAAUAGAAAAGAUUGGCCAAAAUGAAAAAAAUGCAAUUCAAACAGAAUUGAAUUCACUUUCUAAAUGUGAAGUUUUUGGACAUGUAGUCCAAACACCUAAAGGUGUAAAGUCAGUAGGAUAUAAAUGGGUAUUUGUGCAAAAACAAAAUGAAAUUGAUGAAGUUGUAAGAUACAAAGCUCGCCUUGUAGCACAAGGAUUUUCGCAAAGGCCCGACAUUAAUUAUGAAGAGAUACAUUCUCCUGUGGUGGAUGCAAUCACAUUUAGAUAUCUUACUAGUCUGGCAGUACGUGAAAAACUUGACGUGCAUCUAAUAGAUGUUGUUACAUCCUAUUUAUAUGGCACACUUGAUAGUGAAAUUUAUAUGAAAAUCUCUAAAGGAUUUAAAAUCCCAAAAAAAUAUAGAGUUUCUUGAUAAAAUUGUUCGAUCAGAUUAAAGAAAAGUUUAUAUAGAUUAAAACAAUUGGGCGUAUGUGGUACAAUCGUCUUAGUGAAUACUUGUUAAAAAAGGUUACAAAAAAGAUCCAAUUUGUCCAUGUGUCUUUAUAAAAAAGUUUAGAUCAGAUUUUGUGAUAAUUGUUACUUAUGUUGAUGAUCUAAAUAUGCUUGGAACUCCUAAAGAGCUUCAAAAUACAAUCAAUUGUUUAAAGAAAGUAUUUGAGAUGAAAGAUUUUGGAAAAAUAAAGUUUUAUCUUGAAUUACAAAUCAAACAUUUAAAAGAUGAAAUUCAUGUUCAUUAAUCAACUUAUAUGGAAAAGAUAUCAAAGAAAUUUUACAAGGAUAAAGCACACUCAUUAAGUACUCCUAUGGUUGUACGAUCGUUAGAUGUGAAUAAAGAUUAAUUUCGUCCUUGCUAGAAUGAUGAAGAGUUUCUUGGUCCUGAAGUACCAUAUCUAAGUGCCAUAGAGGCAUUGAUAUAUCUUGCAAACAACACAAGACCUUAUAUAGCUUUCGCUGUAAACUUGUUAGCAAGCUUUAGUUCUUCUCCAACAUGUAGACAUUGGAAUGGAAUUAAACAUGUAUUUAGAUAUUUCAGAUGGACCAUUGAUAUGUGUUUAUUUUAUUCAAAUGAUUCAAAAUCCCUAUUAGUUGACUAUGCUGAUACUGGAUACUUAUUAGAUUCAUAUAAAGGUCAAUCUCAAACAGGAUAUUUAUUUACAUGUGGGGGUACUGUCAUAUCAUGGCAUUCAACAAAGCAAACAUCACUUGUCGCUUCUUCAAUCAUACAGUAAUAAUUGCAAUGCAUGAGGCAAGUUGGGAGUGUGUUUGGCUAAGGUUAUUGACGCAACAUAUCCAGAAGAUAUGUAAUUUGUCUUUACAUGAAAAGAUGUCAACUAUCUUAUAUGAAGAUAAUACAGCAUGUAUAGCUCAAUUGAAGGAUGGUUACAUCAAAGGUGAUACUGUAAUAGCCUGAAUAUUCAGUGGUGUCGGAAUGGUGAUUCGAGAUCACUAAAUCUGACAAACGAGUAGAAAAUAUUAUAAAUUUAGUAAGUAUAAGUUAAAUGUGAAGUUAGAAAAAUUUUUGAAAUAGUGAAUAGUGUACUAGGAAUAAAUAUUAAAAUAAUUAAAAUCAAAAACGAGGUAUCGAGACCUCGAAGCUUUUAAACCGAGCCAUAAAUAUUUUUAAAAAUAUUUAUAGAGUGUCAUUGAGUUGGUAUUAAAGUUUCGUUAGAAAAUUUUAACGUUUGGAUAGUUAAUUAACUAAAAAGGACUAAAUUGAAAAUAGUGUAAAAUUUGUUAAAUUGUGAUUAAAUAGCUUAAGUGACUAAUGAGGAGGGAUUUAAAAGGCAAUUAGGCCCAAAUUUUAUGGGCUGGACGGUUGGGUAAGAAAAAUCAGCAGAAUGUAAGUAGAAAUAGGGGCAAAAUUGGAAACUUAACAAAUUAAACAUUUAAAACAAAGACAAAAGUGAAAAAUCUAGAGAUCUCUUCACAAUUUAUCAGCAAAAACUCCAUAGGAGGUCUGAAACAAGCUGGUUUUUCAUAUAUUUGAAUCAUGUAAGUUUAAUUCUUGAUUAUUUCUUCUAAUUUUUGUGAUUUUGAUACUUUUACAAUUAGGCCCAACUAAUUAUUUCAUUAGUUUUUGAUUUCAUGGCUGAUUUUGAAAGUUUCUAUGAAUACAUUCUGGAAGUAUAUGAUGAAUGAACAUGGAAUUAAAGCUUUAAUUUUGUUAUAUGAUGAUUUUAUUAAGUAAUUUUGAUAGAAAUUGAUUUUAGGGACUUAAUUGUGAAAAAGUUGGGAAUUAAGGUUUAGUGUUGCAGUUUUGAGUAUGAAAGGCUAUGUAGUAGUAUAAAAUAGUUGGAAAAGGUGUUAAUCGAGAAAAAUUAGAUCAAUUGAGGGGUUAAUUGAGUAGGGACCAAAUUGUAAAAACUGUAAAGUUUGGGGUAAAAGUGUAAUUUUGAAAAUUUAAGGACAUAAAUUGUGAAAUGGAUUAGAAUAGAAUUAUAUGCUGAUGAAUGAAUAAAUUUGUAUUUUAGAUCGAGAAACCAAAGCAAGCCGAGGAAAAGAAAAAGUAGUUGAUUAGUCCCUGAACUUUUGCAAAUUCUGCAAAUCGACCCAGGUAAGUUCAUAUGACUGAAAUUUAAUGAUUAAAUGUUAAUUUCAUGAAUUAUACAAUGUAUGAUGAAAUGUAUUUAUUGUUGAAAUGAGAAUAAAAUAAAAAUGUGAAAAUCGAAUAAAUGAUCAAAUUAAGUGGAACGCUGGAUUUGAGUACUUCUGAUCAAGUGACAAAGUGAUAAGUGGCUACACUUAUCUGAUCAAGUGAUAAAGUGAUAAGUGGUAGCUUCAGCUACACUUAUCUGAUCAAGUGGCAAAGUGAUAAGUGGUAGCCUAGCUACACUUAUCUGAUCAAGGACAAGUGAUAAGAGGUCAUAUGUCAAAGUGAAAGUGAAGUACUCAAUUUUCCGUAACCGUUCCUUAAUUUUGAUCAAGGAUGGUAAGUGACAAAUAGGCCCAAAGGAAUUAUGGUAAAAGAAUAAGUAGUAGUGAGUUUAUACCAAGGAACUCACCAAAGAUUGUGGUUGACAGGUAAAUUUAGUAAUGGUGUAUAUUGUAUAAGUGUACAAGUGUUUGGUAAGAUUUAUGUUUUAUGCCUAUGAACUUACUAAGCUUUUCUAUAAGCUUACAUGUGUGUGUUUCUUGUUUUUGUAGAUUAACGUAUUUAUACAUUCGGAGGAUCGGAUCUACAUCAAGAAUCACACUAUCCAGAUAUACUCCGGUAGAUUAUGUUAAGCAACUUUUUGGAUUUAUAUGGCAUGUAUAGGGAAUUGAAGUAAAAAGUAAAUUUGAAUGUUAUGGUUGCGUUAGAUAUCGAAAUAUAUACAUGUUUUUAGUUUGAAAUGGUUGAUUGGUUGAACUUCAUUAGUAUUUAAAUGAAGUAGAUGAAAUACUGGAAUUGGUUGUGAUUUGAAAUUUGCAGGGAAGGUUAGACAAUUAUAAAGGGGUUAUAUUGAUUUUUUUUUUUUAAAUUGCAAUGGAGCAGUUCGUGGACAGCAGCAUUGAUGCAACUUUUAAAAAUCACCAAAAAUAGUGGAAAUAGAAUUAGAAAUUGAGUGAGAUAUGAAAUUAAAGCUGAAAGAGUCUACUUUCAUAUGAAAGAAGUGGAGUAAGCAAAAGAAUUAUAUAAUUUUAGAUAUUUGAAUUUUAGUGAAACAGGGCAAGAAUGUUUUUGAAGUCCCCUGUUCUGACUUUAGAAAUUCAUUAAAAAUUGUACAAAAGGAAUUAUGAGUUAUAAUUUAUAUGUAUAGAUUCCUUAAUGAGUCUAUUUUCAGUAGAAAUAAGUUUAAUCACCAUAUGAAGCCUUUAAUAAGAGAUAAUUAAAUUUUAGUGAUGAGUGGUCAGGAUAGUCGAUUAGUGAAACAGGGGAGACUUCAACUAAUAAACUGUAAUAAUUGGCUAAAGAAAAAAUUCUGAAAAAUUUAUGGUGAAUAGAUAUAUCAGUCUAGUUUCUGGGAAAAUUUACGGAUCUAAAUUUCAAGUUUCGUAGCUUGAAUUAUAAUUAUUUUAGUGACUGCUGUACAGGUGGACAGCUUUAUUAUGAAUGAUGAAAUUAAAUUUGAAAGUAAAUUUUUAUGCCCCGAACUUUUAAGUUAAGUCAAGUAACGCCUCAUGCUCGACUCCGGAAACGGUAUUGGGUAAGCGGUGUUACAGAUACAACGAAACAUAUUUCACCAAAAUUAUUCUUCACCCAUGAUCUUAAGAAAAGAGUUGAUAUAAAUGUUCAACAAAUUCGUUCUAGUGAUAAUUUAACAGAUCUUUUUACUAAGGCAUUGCCAACUUCAGCAUUUGAAAUACUACUACACAAGAUUGGAAUAUGUCAACACAAAAAUGUAACAUAAUGUUGCCAUUAGGUGGAGCCUAAAAUAAGUUGUACUCUUUUCCUUUAACCAAAGUUUUGUUCUAUUGGGUUUUUUUGGUAAAAGUUUUUAAUGAGGCAGCUUGUAAUAAAAAAUUGUGUACUCUUUUUCUUUCAUUAUGUUUUUAUCCCACAAGGUUUUUUCUAAUAAGGUUUUAACAAGGCACAUUAUCUACCAAUAGACAUCCAAUGGAGAGUGUUAUGAAUAUCUUAUUAAGUGGAUGUCCAUCAUAAUUAAGAUAAAGUUUUGAUGUACUUUAAAUUCUAAUAGUUAUUAGAAUUAGAUAUCUACUUCUUUUAUACUUCUUAUUACUAUAAAUAGAGACUCUUAUGAAGUAUUGUAACCACCCUUUUUGAUCAAUAAAGUACGUCCUCUAUUACUUUCAUAUUUUCUUUGUUCUUUAUUCUCUCCAUCUCUUUUUAUUUUAUAACAAUUUUCAUUUUUUUAUUUUUAAUUAAUUUUUUAAUUAAUAACUCUUUUAUUCAUAAAAUCAAAUAAUAAAUAUGAUUAUUUUUAGUAGAUAUAAUUUUUAUGUGUAAUAUUUUUUUUUCAAUCCAUAUCAUGAGUGUAAUAAAUUUUAAUAUUAUAUAUUUUUGUAUGUGUAUUUAAAAUAUUUCACAUAUAAACAUAAUGAUAUUUGAAAUAAUUAAUUGAAAUAUUUCACAUAUAAAAAUAUUUGAAAUAUCAUACGCACAAUGUAGAUGAAAAAGCAAUGAUAUUUGAAAUAUUUUACAUAUAAAAAUAGUAAUUAUAUUUGAAAUAAUUAUUUCGCUUUAUAAUAUUAGAAAUCACCAUACCCAUAAUAUAUGUAGAGAAAAUAAAUAUUUGACAUAUAAAUAUUAUAUAUAAAAUAAAAAUAUAUCAAAAAAAUUAGUUGAUAUUUAUAUUAUAUAUAAAGGAAUUAUUAAUUUCAAAUAUUUUUAACAUAAUAAUAUAUGUAAAAUAUAUAUUUUUAUUAUAUAAUUACAUAUUUAUUAUUUGAUUUUAUGAUUAAAAAAGUUAUUAAUUAAAAAUUUUAAAAAAAGGAUUUGAAACCAUAUAAAAUAAAACUUACAAAUCUGUUCAGAAGAAGAGAAUUGAACAUUUUAAUCAAAGGAUUGAUAUGUUAAAAACAUUAAUAUUUAAUUAUCUGAUAAAAAAAUUAAUUAUAUUAAAAAAAUCCAGACAAUAUAACUUAAAAAAACGAACUUUUUCCGAAAAUGACAUAUUUCCUAAAAUUUCAAAAAAAAUCGACCUAUUUCCCAAAUAUAAUUUUCUUUUCUUCUUGACAUAUGGCUAACUUAGCCACAAGGUUGAGUUGUUAUUAAUUUCAAUCCUUUGUAUCUGAGUGUUUGUUGUUUCUAAUUAGAUGUCUGUGGCUUUGACCAUCAUUCUGUGACCUCUUUUAUUGAGCCCGGUUGUGUCUUCUCUUAUGUAGAUUGUCUAUUAUCGGAUCAUGCUGUGUCAUCUUUAUCCCCAAAAUGUUUUUUUUCUUUGAAAAAAAAAACAAAGAAAGAAAGUAAGCAGUAUGAAAUGGCGAGUUGACUGAAGUAAAACCUCGCUUAUUGUUGUAUUGUACAGUAGAAUUGAUGAUGAAAAGACAUUGAGAAUAAAACCCAUCGUCUCAAAAGAGAAAACCACCCAAAACGACCGACCCCUCCCCUGUUUCUCUACCACCGAACACCCACCUUUCACUUCCCUCUAACAUACGCCCCCCCCCCCCCCCCCAACGCUCUAAUCCUGCGCACCUUCUUUAGCUCUCCUCAAUCUCAUAUAUUUCCCAUCAAUUACCACAUCAUUCUUUGAUUCCUUGCUUUUUAGGGUCUCACACGAAAAAGGGUCUCUUUUCUUUUCGGCUUAAAAAGCUCAGAUCACGUCAUCGGAUUGUAAACAAUCUUGGACGGCGGUGUCGGAUUUUGGGUUUUGGGUGUUUUUUUGACGAGAGAUGUCUGAUGCUCCGGGGAUUGAUGAAUCUGUUCUCGCUCUGCUGGAAGCCAUUCGGGCCUGACGGGGAAAAUCACGAGACAAACGGCGUUCUUGGCGGCGGCGGCGGUACUACUGGUGGUUCAAGAGAAGGUAAAGACCGCUUGCUUUGGUUUCGGGAUAUAGGAAAAUAUGGUUCCGGGGAAUUUUCCAUGGCAGUGGUCCAAGCAAAUCAGGUGCUUGAGGAUCAAAGCCAGAUCGAGUCCGGUCAAUUCGGCACUUUUGUUGGGAUCUAUGAUGGGCAUGGCGGGCCCGAAGCGGCUCGUUACGUUUGCGAUCACUUGUUCAGCAACUUUCGAGGUUCGUCACUUUCUUUUGGGUUCUUUUAAAUAAGUUCAAAAGCUUUCCCAACUCAGAAAAGCGAAAUGUUAACUUUGAUUUGUUGACAUUUGAACUAUUUGGGAACUCUUUUGGUACUUUGGUUAGUGUUUAGUAACUAUUUAUGUUGUUUCUUCUUAUUUCUGGCUUAAAUAACACCCAGAUUUAAGGUGUUCUUUCGAUGCUUUUAGAACUUAAAAUCAAUGAAAUAUUUAAUCUUGAAGAUAGGGUGCUGAAUCUUUUGAAGUGCUUAGUUUUUCUUUCAGAACCUUUUAAUCAGUCGAAUGUAAUAGUUUUGAGAUCAAAGGAUUUAGUGGGGCAAUUUUUUGUGCUUUGCUACUUGCCUUUAAUAUGAAAGAAUUCCCCUUAAUUGCUUUAAAUGCUUCUUUGUGUUAUGCUGUUUCUUCUUUCGAUUCUCGGACAAUUUCUAGAAAAUGAGCGGUUCUUAUGUUGGCAUUCUUAGGCUUUGUGUUUAUGCAGCAAUAACAGCUGAGUCGCAUGGAGUUGUGACUGCUGAGACCAUUCAAAGAGCUUUUCGUCAAACAGAAGAAGGGUUUACCACGCUUGUGUCGGAAUUAUUGGGUUCUCGACCCAAUAUGGCAACUGUUGGUACAUGCUGUCUGGUUGGAGUAAUAUAUCAGCAAACACUUUUUAUCGCGAGUCUUGGUGAUUCACGUGUUGUUCUGGGCAAGAAAGUUGGCAAUACUGGUGGAAUGGCUGCUAUGCAGUUGUCAACUGAACACAAUGCAAACAUUGAGGCUAUUAGGCACGAACUCAAGGAAUUACACCCAAAUGAUCCGCAAAUCGUUGUCCUCAAGCAUGGGGUUUGGCGAGUAAAGGGCAUUAUUCAGGUUACAUUAACACCUGCAUAUUGUAUAACUUUUAAUCAUUGGCACGGGUAAAUAUAAUAUUCUUGAGUGUUUGGAUUUUCAUGUAAAUCUUUUGGAACCGAUUAGAUGAAGCAACAUCAUAUGUCUUGUUUCUCGAUUUCAUAACCUCCUUCAUAAAUUAUCAUGUGAUGUGAUGAAUUUCAUGACUGUAUUUGAUGCAGGUUUCAAGAUCUAUAGGCGAUCUUUAUAUGAAACAUGCACAGUAUAACAGGGAACCGAUUAAUGCGAAAUUUAGACUUCCUGAACCAAUGAACAUGCCUUUAUUGAGUGCCAAUCCAACUAUCAUUUCUCAUCCUCUCCACCCAAGUGAUUCUUUCCUUAUAUUUGCAUCCGAUGGUCUAUGGGAACACUUGAGUAAUGAAAAAGCUGUGGAUAUCGUCCACAGUCAUCCCCGUGCGGUAAGAUUUUGCCCUUAUUUCUCUGUUCAUCAGUCAUAAUUUCUCAGAAUAAAGCUCUCGUGUCCAUUGCGGUUUUAGUCUCUUGUAUAUGCAGGAAUCAGUGUUUUUAUGUGAUAAUGUAUCGAUACUAAAUUUCUGUUUAUCUUCAAUCAUGAGUUCACCAUUCACAAACUGAAUUGUUUGAAGUUGAGUUUUGUUAGGAUAUGAGAGAUAAUCGAUGAGUUUUUAAGGUGUUGCUGAUGAACCUUUUACAAAUGCAGGGGAGUGCCAAAAGGCUUGUCAAAGCUGCCCUACAAGAAGCAGCCCGGAAACGAGAAAUGAGAUAUUCGGAUCUUCGAAAGAUUGACAAGAAGGUUCGACGUCAUUUUCACGAUGAUAUUACUGUUAUUGUGUUAUUCUUUAAUCACGAUCUUAUAUCGAGAGGUGCCGUCCAAGACCCUCCAGUAUCGAUUCGGAGUGCACUAGAACACUGAUGAUUUAUAAACCAAAUAGAUUUCUGCUUCCUCUGGUUUUUGCUCUGGGGAUUCGAAAUCGAACUUGAACCUUUAGUUUAGCAAAUUGCCGUAAAAUGUUAAAAAGAGAGUAAGCAGGCCAAGAUUUAGUGCAAAUUCUAUGUAAUGCUCUACUUAAUUCAGCAAAAAAACAUUUUGUGACAGUGCUUUAUCAGAUGAAACAUGAAUAUAGGUGUUUGAUUUAUUCUAUAUUGACCCCAAUCAACAUUCAGUAGACUCAAAUAGCUCAAACAGUAACUUGCAUGUCUACUUUAAUUUGGAUCAUGUAAAUUUGUAGAAUUAAGUUAGAUUUCAAGUUUGGGUCAUUUUUUUCAUCCGGUUAAUCGGUAUUAAUCGAAUUUUUUAAUCUUUUAACCGUUAACUGAAUUAAAAUUUUAUCAAAAAUAAUUAAUUGAACUGAAAUAUUUCGAUUAAUUUGGUCAAUUAAUUGAAUUAAUUAAAAUUUAUAUGUUUUUUUAAAACAAGUAUAAAAUAUAUUUAAAAAUAUAAAUUGAUAAUGUUCAUUUGAUCGAAUUAUCUAAAUUAAUUAAAUUAAAAUGAUAUAUAAUUUAUAUUUAUUAAUUAUUAAAUUUAAUUAAUUUGAUUAAUUAUUCGAUUUCAAAUCGAAUUAAAUUCAAUCAUUUUAAAGUCAACUGAUUUGAAAUAUUUAUUCAAAUUAUUUUUACUCCAACUGUUGAUGAUGAAAUCGUUUCAGAGUUGGAUGCGGGACAAAUCCCAGUAAUCUGACUUUGAUCAAAAUCAGAUCAUAUUUUUGAGUUUACAUCAACAUUGAAAAAUCUUUUAACCUAACUCAAGUUUUUAUUUGAAUUUUCAUAAAAAAAAGAUAUCUUCACUGUUGUGAACAAACUAGUCAGAAACUGAAAUGGGUGAAGUAGAUCAGAUCAGACAAGCUUUGUAGGCUGCAAGCAAUUCAAUAGAACUGCUAAGCUCGAGAGCUCAGUGCAUAUUUCGUCAUCAUAAUUACCAUGUAUUGGAAACAAGGCUUUUAUAAACUCAAAACCAAAACCAAUAUUUUUCUUCUUUCUUGCAAAAAAGGGAUCCUCGGUGUUUUUGCUUGUAGUUUUCAUCAAACAAAAUACAUGAUCAGGUCUGGAGCUCCCCUUAAUUUUAAAAACUCAAAUCAGAAAUUUAUAGAAAAAAAAAUUCAGUAAAAUUGGGUGUAAAAAAAAAAAUGGGUUUAGCAGGAUGUUAUUCACUGCACCUGGUAAUACAAAGAUUAAAGGCGAAGCGACUCAAUUUCCUGCAAAUAAUAUAUGCCUCUUUGAAGAACAAACGUGAUGGGUAAAAUUCCCUUAUAACUAUGAUCAUCAAAUUACAGGGACCCCAUCAAGAGGCAGCUUCUGGAAAUUUUCUCCAUAGGAAACUUUGAAGAAAAAGAAAAAAAGACAGAAAUCUUUGCUAAAUUUCGUAGAAGAAAAAGCAGAAGGGAUAAGGUAAAAGUGUCAGGGAAGCCCCUGUACUUAGGGGUAGAUUGUAUUCGGCCCCCUCUACUGAAAAAUUAGACAAAUUAGCCCCUCCUUUGACGUGAAAUGUUAAUUUUAAUGAUUAAGUAUUAAUUUAGUCCCUGAGCUAUAGCUAAAAUAUGAUUUUAAUUUUUUUUUAAACUUCUUAACAAUAAUUCUAAAAAGUUAAAAAAUAUUAAAAAUAAAUAUAAAUUAGAUGGAUUAGAAGCCAGGAAUGAAUUAUUAGCCUGCUUAGUUGUUCUUGAUUCCGAGAAGCUUCAUGGCUACCUCUCAGGUGACAAUUGCAGCCGCAUUAGCAGGAAAAGCUCUCAGUAUAGGAGGACCCAAGCUUGUGUAGUUACUUUCCAUAUUAUUUUGAUUGUCUUAUUGUGCUAGGAAAGGCAAAUUUAGAUCAUCUUACUGAAAUUAGAACUUGGAUAAUGAUGUUCGUCUGAAAAAACAAAUAAAGAAUAAAAUUAGAUAUAAAUAGACCAUAUGGUAACUCAAAAUUGAAAAAUGGAUAUUAAAACACCCACACCACCACUUAGAAUUCCAAUUCCCAUAUCAACCAAAUUGUUAUGGUCAAAUGAACCAGAUUUUACCUGUAAGUGCAUAUACUAACUAAUAUAUGCAUUUUUAAUAUAUUUUUAUUUUUAAGAUUCUUUUAAUUUUUUAGAAUUGUUGUUAAGAAUUUUUUUUUAAAAAAUUUUAAAUAAUAUUUUAACUAUAGUUCAAGGAUCAAAUUAAUAAUUAAUCAUUUAAAUUAACAUUUCACGUCAUCAUUUAAUAAAAAAAUUUAAUGGAUGGGUUAAUUUACACAUUUCAAAAUUCUUUUAGUAUAGUCCUUUUACCGAAGGGAUAAUAGAAUAUAUAGUUGGUAAAGUUAGAAAUUAGGCUAUUUAUAUAGUAUAUGACCCAUUAAACUCUUAGGCAUCUUGUAGAAUACAAAUGGCCCAAAACUCAGUUUUGCUCAACUUUUUAAAUGCAAAAAAUUGAAGCCCAUUUUUCUAUUUUUUAAAUUCAAAAAUAAAAAGAAAUACAAUUCUAUUUGUUAAGGGUAAACUAGUGUGGUUAAACUAUUAGUAAGUUUACGUUUUGGUUACUCAACUUCAAAAGUUACAAAAUAAUCAUUAAAUUGUUCGAAAGUUUUCAUUUAAAUCACUGAAUUAUUUCAAAAAAUUUAUUUAAGUCACUGGGCUAUUUAAUUUACUGGGUAUUAAAUCUUUUUACUAAGCGAUGGUUCGACAAUCGAUACGAUGGAUCAAUAUUCAUCGAUGAGUAGAAAAACAUAUUUUAGAUCCAAAUCGAUUUGAAAGUCAAUGUCCAGGGGCAAAGCUAGAAAAUUGUUUGGAGAGUCAGAAUUAAGUUGUAUAUUUUUACAAUAGUAAAUAUGCAGUUUCACUAUUUUAAAUGAUUAAAUCGAUUUUUAUCAUUUUAGGAGGAGCAAAGUGCAAUUUUUAAAGGCUACUUCUAAUGCCAUGGGGACACUGAUGUUAGAGUACCUGGUGAAUGAGAAAUUAUUUUAUAGACCUUUCCCACCACAUCAUCCAUGGUUUUUUCUAAUUAUUUAAUGACAUUUCAACAAAAUUUUCCAUGUCAUUGAUAUAUGAUUUUGGUAUUUCUUUUACCCUGAACCCGAACCCUGAACUCUAAAAAUAGAAAAUUUUACAAAAAUGUCAUUAAAUAAUUGAAAAUGGAUCAUUGAUGAUGUGGUGAGAAUGUUCCAUAAAAUAAUUUCUCCAUGCUAUCUUAGAUAAAGAUGUUGACCAAUUGCUAAUUUUAGCCUUAUUUAAAAAAUCUUGCAAUGUUGCAAGUGAGAAGGGAAAAAAAGAUUAAGGGCUAAAAUGAAAAAAUUCACAAAUGUUAAGGAUGAAUUUUAGAAUUAUGCCUUUUUAAUUGAUAUCCUGAAUUCUAAUAUUGUGGAUGGAAGUGUUGGAUACAGGUUUUACUUUUAAGAGAUAAUUCUUAAUGUUUUUUUUUUGUUCUUACAAGGCAUAUAACUCAAUAGAAAACAUAAACUCCAUUGUUUCGGUUUCUUUUUAAUGUAAAAAUAGGGUUGAUCACUAAAAUCUCCAUUUUAAUCAGCAUGAUGAUGAUGCUGCUGAUGCUGAUGAUGAUGAUGAUAUAAUAAAAGCAUGAAACAAGCUGAAACCAUGCAAGAGGUUAGUUUGAUCUUAUAUUGCAGUGCAAGUCAGAUAAGAUAUGCAAAACCAGAUUUUUAUCGGAUACAAAUCUCCAUUAAAACUAUAGAUUUCUUUAGGGACUUAAUUAACAUGUGCCAUACUUGACACGUUUUCGAACAUGUUAAUUGAUCCAUUUUUAUUCUCAGGGCAUACACUCCAUACACAUACGUACGUACAUGCAUGCAUAAUGAUAUUUACAGAAGUUUCGUCCAGUUUCAAGCUUCCAACCUGCGAUUAUGGUGAUUUUUUGUGCUUAGGAUAAGGAUUGGUUCCAUUUAUGUAGGAAUGGUGAACUAGAUUGUUUGGAUCAGUAUUACUUCCGUAGUGUUCGUACCCCGGGUUAUUGUCAUUAUCUUCCUGAUCGGGCGCAGCAACAAGGCUCGCCGUAGCAGCACUUCCGACGUCAGCUUUUCGACCCAGACGGCUACUGGUUGCAAGCUGAUCGUUGCUUAAGAGCUUCGGCUCCAGCCGGUUUUCGGGCCUUUGUCCGUCAGCUUCCGGAGAUGCCAAGAGCAAAACCAGGGCGAAAAAGAUCAUCACUGAGUUCUUCAUGAUCAUCAAAGCUGCUCUAUUUAACCCCUGAAAUCAAAAAGAAAAAUUUCAAGGUUAACGACAAAAAAAGAGCACAGAAGAAGAUAGAAUCUGAAGCUAGCUAUAUAUAUAUAUACCACAUUCAAGUAUGAGAAAAAUAUUUGAGUGUGAAGAAGGAAGAACACUAGGGCUAGGGUUUUAUAGCCAUACCUGAGUUGCUGUUUUUGGAGAUUGAUUUUUGAGCACUAUGAAAUUGCAAGGUGAGGUGGGGAUAUCACAAUCUCGCAAAUUCAUUGGCUCAGGGUAGCCCAAAGAAGUAAGUAAUUAUGAUUAACUUUAAUAUAUUUUUUAUACUAUAAUUAAUUAACUCUUUUUAGUUUUGCAUUUUCUCGAUGGAUUUUUUUUAGAAAAUAAUUAAAUGAGAAUUAAUCUAACUUAUCGUGAAAAUUAAUUUAUUUAGAAAAUAAUUAAAACAACAAAAUAGCAUUUUAAAAGUAAUAUAAAUUAGAAAUAAAUAUUUACUAAUUAAAUAAAAUGUAAAUUUAAUUUAUAAAAUUAAAAUAAUUAAAAAAUAUACUAUAAAAAUUGUCAUUUGAUUAUGCCUUUAGUUCAGUUAUUAAAUUUUUCGAAAUUAAAUAUUUUAGUCACUCUAAUGUGGGCUUUUUUAUUGGUCUAGUAACAAAAUGAUCCCUCUAAUGUUUACACAUUUUAUUAAUUUGAUCCUAAAUAUAAAAAAUUCAACAAAUUUAGUCCUCAAUGUUUACAAAAUUUGUCAUUUUAGUUCUAAUUCUAAAAAAAUUCAAAAAAUUUGGCCCUCGGCAUUUAAAAAUUUUAUCAACUUAGUCUUAACUAGAGGUGCUCAUGGGUAGGGCCGGGCCAGGUUCGGGCCGGGAAAAAAUUAUGGCCAGCGUCCUAGGCCCGGGCACGGGCCGAGCUCGAAAUAUGGGCCUGAAAUUUUGUCCAGGCCCAGCCCGGGAAAAAAUCCUAAGCCCGAGCCCGGCCCGACCCUAAUAAACACUAAAAAUUUAUUUUAAAAAUAAAAAAUAAAACAAGUAUUUUAAAAACAUUUUAAAAUUAAAAUAUAUAUAUUUAUUAUAUUCGGGUCGGGCCGGGCCUGGGCCAAAACAGUGGUGCCCUCAUUUUUUUGCCCAAACCCAUAUUUCGGACCUAUAUUUUUACCCGAACCCUCCCAUAUUUUGGACAGGCCGUCAGACCGGGCUGGGCCGCCGGCCCAUGAGCACCUCUGGUCUUAACUCUAAAAAAUAAAAUAUAUUUUUAAAAAAAAAUUAUUUUUAUCCCUUUAUAACCCAUCGACUAACCCAUGUGAGAUAUUAAAAUAAGAAAAGAGUAUCAUCUUUCAAGUCACUCGUGACAAUUUAUUUUACUUUUUAGGCUUCACACUAUAUCAAACAUAUUGAUUUGGAACCUAUAUGGAAUAAUUUGCUACAUUAUUACCCAAAUAGAUAACAUUUUUAAUGUCUUUAUUUUCUUUUGGAUCUUUUUUGUGUGUGUUUUAUCCCAAUUUUGUUAAGUUUUUUUGCAAGUGACUUGAAAGAGGAUACUCUUUUUCUUAUUUUAAUAUCUCAUGGAUUAGCCGAUGGGUUAUAAAGGACUAAAAUUGAUUUUUUUAAUAUUUUUAAAAUUUUUAGAUUUAGGACUAAAUUGACAAAUUUUGUAAAUAUUGAGGACCAAAUUUAUUAAUUUUUAAGAAUUAGAACUAAAAUGAGAAAUUUUGUAAACAUCAAUAGCUAAAUUUGUUGAUUUUUUAUAUAUUUAAGAUUAAAUUGAUAGAAUAUAUAAACAUUAGGGCUAAUUUUGUUACUAGAGCAAUAAAAAAAAACCCAUAUCAACUCAGAGUGACUAAAAUAUUUAAUUUCGAAAAGUUUAGUGAUUAAAUCGAAAAAAAUAAUAAUUAAAUGAUCAAAAUAGAACAAAAGAGAUAGUUAGGUGAACAUUUUUAUAGUUUACCCAAAAUCUAAAUAUAUAAAAUAAUUAAUUACUUGAAAUUCCUUUUUCAUAUUAUACUUUCAAUAUCAAUUUCUGUUAAAACCAAGCUGUAUUUAAUAAUAUGUUUUGAUAUAAUAAAUUAAAGUAUUUUUUUAAUAAAAUUUAAAGUUGAACAUAAUUAGAAAAAUGAUUAAAUCUAGUUAAAAUAGUUUCAAUUAAGUUAAACAUUUUCAAUCAUGUUAAAAUUGUUUUUUAAACAAGUCAGUAUUGCUCCAGGCCAAAAAGUAUCGAUAGUUUUCAAGAUAUCGAUACUCAUUCUACAAUCGAUACCAAAUUGACAUUAUGUUUUUAAUUUACACAAAAAGUAUCAAUAUCUUUUACCAGAUAUCAAUAAUUUGUCUUUGGUGUCAUUGUAAACUAAUUUCAACGGUCACUGAAUCAGGCAUUAAAUGCUAAUAGUAUUGAUACUUGUAGAAAAAGUAUUGAUACCUUUUAUUGCAUGUGAAUUUAAUAAUAUGGUAUUUUCAUUCCCAACGACCCUAUUAACUUUCACAACAACCCCAACGGUUGAAAAUGUAUUAGAAGUUAUAAAUACCAUGUUCCAAGGGUAAAAGCAAUUAAGGUAAAUUGUUGUGUUCAUUGUUGCACAUACGUUCGUUGCUUUCACAAAUUUUCUUAAGGUUAAUUCACCCCCUCUUGGUGAUUUUGAGUUGAUCUAUCGUGUAACAACCUGUUUUUAGUGAAAUCGAAACAGUAGUUUCGAGACCACAAAUCCAAGUCCGGAAGAAAAUUUAUUUUAAUAUUAUUUCAUGGUCUGCAUUAUGAUUGAAAUAUCGUAUGAAAAUGUCAUAAAGAAAUUUUAUCGGUUACAUGUCUAAUUAAAUGGAAAGGACCAAAUUGCAUAAAAUGUAAAAGAUGAGUUCUAGUAGCUAUAGGUAUCAAAUAGCUAUGAAAUUCAAAAUUGGAGGUCCUUAUAUGGAAAUAGACCAUUAAGAGGAGUUAGUAGAUAAGUAUGAUUAGUCAUCAAUGGAAAAUUAAAUAAAGAAAAGGAUUAAAUUGGAAAGUAAAAAAUAAAAAUAUGAUAAAUAAUAAAAUAAACUAAAAUUUCAUCAUUUUCAUCAUCUUUCCCAAAUAAAAGAAAUGGAAACCCUAGUUUGGAGAGCUUGAAGUUAGCAAACUAUUUUGGCUUAAUUAGGUAUGUAUUCUUGUCCCGUUUUUAAUAAUUUUUAUAUUUUCGAGAUCGUAAUAGCUUAAUCUAGUUACCUCGGGGAUUAAUUUGUAAAUUUAUCAAAGUACUAGGGUUUGGCAAUGGAUUAUAGUUGAACUAUGAUGUUUUAUGGUAGAAAUUGAAAGGUUGUUAAUAGAUAAACAACUUUUGUAAAGGGAUUUUGAUGAAAUUAUGAUUUAGGGACUAAAUUAAAAAGAUGUAAAAUUCAUGAAAAAAUUCUAAAUUUUUUGAAAUACAUGGGCUGCUGUUGUGAUAUAUGAAAAUUGGUUAGGCUUGCAAUAAUGAUUAAAUUGCAUGAAUUUCAUUUUCCGAGCCUAGGGACGAAAUCAUAAUUAAUUAAAAGUAUAGGGGCAAAUAGUAAUUUUUUCAAAGAUGUGAAUUGGAUUGAAUUGAGUAUAAAUUGAUGUUAAAUUCAUUCAUAUAGAUCCAGAUAGAUCAAAUACGGAGGUAGAUUGGGGAAAAGAGAAAGUAACAGAUUAGUAGCUUUUGUGUACACGAACAUUGUCGAGGUAAGUUUGUGUAACUAAAUUAUAUAUUUUUAUGUUUGAAUUGAAUGUUGUGUAUGUGAUUGUAUUAUUGCCAUGUAUAUGAAAUUAAUCACAUAUCUGUUGAUGAUCGACAAGUAUUAAGCUCCGUUUGAAUAAAUGAAAUUCGAUGGAUACAGGGUUCUCGUAUUGGUUGUGAUUCUGCAUGUGUUGCGGACACACCACAGCUCGAAAGAGUGUCCCGUUAUUAGCUCUCAUGAGCUUCCUGUUAAAUGGUUCUUGUGAGCUUCCCGUUAAAUGGUUCUUGUGAGCUUCCUGUUAAUAGCUUUUCGGAGCUUAUCGAUUUAAAGGCUCUUUUAUGAGCUUCUCGAUAUUGGCUCACAUGAGCUUCGCGAUGUUGGCUCACAUGAGCUUUCCGUUACAUGGCUCACAUGAGCUUCCCCUUAUAUGGCUUGAAAGAGCUUCCUGUUUAUAUGCUUGUAUGAGCAUUCCCGAAUAUGAAUUGACAAAUUACAGAUUUGUACACUUUGUGUGUACUACCCGUGUAUCCAUUGAUAUUUUAAAUGAUUCAACGGCAAAAUCCUGACAUGAGAAAAUAUAUGAAUUCGAAAUGAAUCAUUAUCCGUAUUUAUUUGAAAUACAUGAAAAUUUGAUAUUUGAUGAGCUCAUACAUGUUUCUUGAUAUUCAUGUGAAAUAAAUGACUAACAUUUUUUAUGAAGUUAUGUGUUUAGGCUACUAGCCAAUUUGCUUUGGAUGUAUUUUUGUAUGCUUACCUUGAAUUUAAAUAAAUGGUAAGUUAAUUUUCUGUUAUACGAACUUACUAAGCAUUAAAUGUUUACUCUGUUUUAUUUUCUCUGUUUUAUAGUACUUCGAAAGCUCGUUGGGUUAGAAGCUUGGUGGAGAUAUCUCACACUAUCCAUCGGCCCAUUUUGGUAUAUAUAGAAAAUUUAUUUUGGUUAUAAUGACAUGCAUAGAGUAAUUUAACCAAUGUUGGCUUAAAAAUACUUUGUUGUAAAUAGCCAUUGGUAUGACUUGAGUUAGACAUAUUUUGAUAUGUAUAUGUAUGUGUGGCUUAAUACGUUUGUUGUGUUUAAUGUGGUUGAGUAAUGGAUAAUUUAUGAAAAUGAUAAUGUAUGAUUUGAGAUAAUAUGAUUGGAGAAAUAUGCAUAUAAUUAUUUUGAUAUGUAUAUGUAUGUGUGGCUUAAUAUGUUUGUUGUGUUUAAUAUGGUUGAGUAAUGGAUAAUUUAUGAAUAUGAUAAUGUAUUAUUUGAGAUAAUAUGAUUGGAGAAAUAUGCAUAUAAGUUUAUAUGGUCAAUUAGGUAAGAUUGAAUACUUGGAUAUAUGGGGUAUUAUGAUAUGUGUUAAAUUUGGUUUUGGCUUGAGACAUAGGCAUAUAUCUUUACGUGAGCCACACGGCCUGGGCACACGGGCGUGUGUCUCCUGCACCUUAAAAAAAUUUUGAUAUUUUGCGAAAAAUUUUCUGAGUUCCAGGUUUAGUCCCGUCUUGUUUCUAAUGCAUAAUUUGGGCCUGGAGGGCUCAUAAAAGGGACAUUAUGAUUGUAUACGAUUGUUUUCUAAUAUGAAUGUUAAAUGAUAUGAAAAUGUCUGUAAUUGAUCUGUAUAUGCUGGUAAUGCUUUGUAACCCUGGUCCAGCGACGGAUAUGGGUUAGGGGUGUUACAUAUCGAGCUAACAAUUCCAUUUUUUUAUUUAAAUUGAAAAUGUUGAUUUUUCAAUAAUAAUUAAUACCAAGUAAAAUAUAAAAUAUAUAAUUAAUACCAAAUAAAAAUAAAAAUAAAAAUAAAAAUAUAUUAUUACAUUUAUCAUAAUAUAAUUAUACUUAUUUGUUUGUUCAUGUACUCUUUUAAUUCAUUAAAAUAAACAAAAUCAUAAAAAAAAAAUAUUUUGGUAGGUUGAGAAAGUUGAUACAUCAUAUGCAAAAUUAGUGACAACUCAAUUGUUUUAUGAAUAUUAAUAAAUUUACAAAAUGCUUUUUUUCCACUACUCCAUUUCAACAAAACUCAAUUGUUUCCCUUUUGAAAAAUAUUUGUUAAAAUCAGCCGAAUUUUAUAAACUUCGUAAGCAGGUUGAGGGUUUAACAAGUGUAUUAUAAAAUAUAAAUAAAAAAUUAAAAAAAUAAGUAUAUAAAUAAAUGUGACACUUUUCACAACUUCAACUCGUUUAUGGAAUUUAAAAACUUCACUGAUUGUGUAUCAAAUAAUUACUUUUAUUAAAAGUCACAAUUUAAAUUUAGAUUCCCUUAAAUUUUAAAACUAAGCUGUUAAAAAAUAAUUUAGAUAAAAGUUAAUUUAAAUUAUAAAUAUCAUAAAAUAUUAUCUAUUAAAAUAAUCUUAUAUUAUUUAAUAAUGAAAGUCUUACCUUUACCUUCAAAAAUAUAAAAGUCUUACCUUCUUUGGCUGAUGAAAACAAAACCUCUCAACUGAUACACAUUUGUAAUUAUUAAAACCAAUUAAUACUGCAAAUAUCAAAUAAUAAUGAAAUUAUACAUUUUUUCUGAAAUGAAAAUCAAAGCAAAAUCUAUUAAAUAAUACUAGAACGUAUUUAUUUAUAGUGCUAAAUUUUAGUUUUGAUUGGGUUAUAACUGUAAUUUUAGUUAAAUAAUAAACUAGGGUAAACUAUAAAAAUAGUCACUAUUGUUUGCCUCAGAUUAUAUUUUAGUCACUUAUGUUUGAAAUGUUAUGUUUUAGUCACUUACGUUAUCGUUUUGUUAUGAGGUGGUCACUCUACCGUUAAGCUCCAUUACCUCCCUAACAACGGUCCUACAUGGCAGUCCAAAUGGGUUUUAAAUGCCAACUUAGAUGUCCUAUGUGGCAGUCCAAAAUAAAUUUAUUUAAUUAAAAACAUAUUUUCAUCCCACCAACUGAACAUCCAAGUUGGCAUUUAAAACCCAUUUGAACUACCGUUAGGGAGGUACGGAGUUUAUCGGUUAAAGUGACCACUUGCAACAAAACGAUAACAUAAGUGAUUAAAACGUAACAUUUCAAACACAAGUGACUAAUAUGUAAUCUAAGGUAAAUAAAAGUGACUAUUUUUGUAACUUACCCUAAUAAUUAAUCUAAAAUAAUAAGUGUAGUUUAAUACCCAAAUUCUAAUAAAGUGAUAUUAACUUUUCAAUAUAAUUCGUUAUGAAAAUAAAAUAAAUAUAGGUAUAAUUAUUUUAUAUUAAUAAUUUGUUAUGAAAAAUAAAAGUAAAACCUAUCUUUUCAAUUUUAUAUUUAAGGGUUGAUAAUAAAAAUAUAAUCAAUAAACUAACUAUUAUUAAUUUUCAUAAUGAAUUGUAAUUAUAUUAAUUGAUUUAUGUUUUUUCCAACAUUAAAAAGAUAGGUUUAGCUAACACAAAACGUUAAGCUUUAUUUAAUUUGUCAAGUAGAAUCAGUUAAUAAAAUAUAUUUAACUUAAUAAUUUUAAUGAAUAUAAUAAAUUAUAUAAUUUAAAUUAAUUAUUAUGAUAGAUAUAAUUUGAUAAUUAAGAUUUUUUAAAUUAUUGAAUUUUUUUUAAUAAUCCCAUUAUAGGUUUAGAUUAUAUUUGUUCUUUUUGAGACAAUGACUAGCACUACCCAUAGCCCCUCCCUAACUUAGGGGUAAGCGUUCGAUUGAAUCGAGUGAAAAAAUUUCGAGUUAAUCAAGUUCACAAGUCCUAUUUUAUGAUCCUAACUCAAUUUGAAUUUUUUUCAAAUCGAGUCGAGUGAAAUGAAUUCAAGUCGAGUUGAAUAGAGUGAAAUUGUUCGAGUUAAAUUAAAAAAAUUAAACAUGUCAAAUAAAAAUAUUAUUACAGUAUAAUUAAUUCCAUAUUAAAGCACAUAAAUUUGAAACUAUAUAUAUUUGAAAUUUUUUUCAAAGCAAAACAAUAAAAAAAUAAGAUACUUAAGUACGAUAAAUUUGAAUCAUUAAUUAGGUCUCAAUACUAUUAUUUUAGAAAAAAUUUAACUUUUUUAUAUAUUUUUAGAAUUUUUAUAUUUUUUUAAAAAUAUAUUUUUCAAUUUUUAAAAUUUAUUUUUUUUGUAAUUUUUGUUGUGAGAGAGACUAAUUUACUUAUUUUCAAAGUUAUCAAGGAUCAAAAGGGUAUUUAGAUAAAUCUGUUAUUCGAAUUAUUCGAAUUGUGAAUUUCAACUCGACUCAAAAUCGAAAUUCAAAUCGAGUUAUUCGAGUUGACUCGAAUAAUUCGAAUGUCUUAAUUCGACUAACUAGAAAUUCAAAAAAAAAAUCUAUUUUUUCGAAUCAAAUCGAGUUUUGCUCCCUCCUACCCAACCCAUAAAUAAUAGGGUAACACGCUUCAACACACUCGAAUCCAUAUUCUCCUGCAUUGACAACAAUGACCAUGUCAGUCGAGCUAAGACUCAAUCGAUAAUUAUUAAAUUUUUUAAAUUAGUAAAAGAUAUAUUAAUAAAUAAAAUCAGUUUUCCUGAACAUGAGUUUAAUCAUUAUUAGCUUUUUCUCUAUUUAUAUAUUUAUUAAAAUCUAUCUAAUUGGUGGUUUUAAUAGGUGUUUUUUUCAUUAUAUAUGAAUUUUUUUGAAAAUUAUAUAUGAUUUUUUUAUUAAAUUAGAGAUAAUGCAUUAAUUAUACAUAUUACUUUAUUUUUAAACAAUUUUUUAAACACACCUCUUAUCCGAAAACCCAAAUUCAAUGCUUUCAUAAGUAAUAAAGGAAAUGGGUUCAAAUUUGGGUGAUUCAUUUGUUUGAAAUUAAUUUUGAUUUUUUUCCCAACUUUGUAAUGAUUAAAUUAUUUAUGGACUACACCUUUUCUUCAGCAAGCUUAAACACUAUGACCUACUAAUUGGAGUACCUGUAAUGUAAUAGAAACUUCCAUACUAAUGAUUUUAAUUAACGGACAAUUGAAGUACACUGACGUCAUUAACAGACACAACCCUUACUAAUUAAGGGUUUUUUAGUCACUGUAAUUAUGCCUUCUUUUCAAGGUUAUUAAGGCUAAAUGGUUAAGCCGGGUUAAAAUUUUUACCAUCUUUUUAAAAAUAUUUAAAUAAGGAUUUUUCGAAAUUUUUAUUUUUAUUCUUUUUAAAUAAUAUAUAUCUUAUUUAAUUGUUAUGUGUUAUGUGUUAUAAUUAUAAAUAUAUAUCUUAUUUAAUUCUCUUCUCUCUUUCUUUCCAGUAAUUUUUUUGAAAUAUCUUGUUGGUAUUGUUAUCCCUAUUUUUAUAUUUAUAAUAUUUAUAUUUAACAUUAAUAUAAUUAAUUUUAAAUAUUUUAUAUGAACCGAAAAUUCUAUCAUAUUCAUAUGCAUGUGAAAAACACGUAUUUAUAAUACAUGUAUGAUUUAAAAAUAACAUACAAUAAAUAAAAAUAUAUGAUUUCAAACUAGUAAUUAUAAUAAUAACAACAUAUAUGAAAUAUAUACAAAAUUAAAAUAAAAAAUAGUUAAAUUAUGAGUGAAAGGAAUUUUAAAUAAGUAAACAUAUCAAAUUAUAUAUAUCAAAUGUACUUUGAUUGUUUAUCAUGAUAUUUUCUGUAACAAUCCAUUUUCAGUGGUGUUAGAAACAAUGAUUUCGGGACCACAAAUCUGACAAGUGAGUUUGUAAAUAUUAUUAUUUAAUAUUUACAAAUCAAAUAUAGUAUUAUAUUGAAUUUUGAUUUGAUAUUUUUUGCUAUUUGAAUGAAAAGUUAAGUACAAGUGAUUUGUCUCUAAAGUCAAGUAAUUUUAAAAAAUGAGGUAUCGAGAUCUUGUUUUUGUAAACCGAGCCUAUAAGUAUUUUUAUUAAAUAUUUAUGGAGUCACUAUAUAGGUUUAUUAAAGUUUGGUCCGAAAAUUUUAGUGAUUUGUUAGUUAAUUAAAAAAUGACUAAAUCGUAAAAAUUGUAAAACUUAAUCACUAUUGAAUUUUAUUAAUGAAAUGGCUUAUAUAGUCAAAGUUGGAGGACUAACAUGGUAAUUUGAAAAUAAUUUAGCAUGAUGGACGGUUUAUGAAUUAAAAUUAAUUAAAUUACAUGUUAUUUUUUAUAUAUUAAAAUGUUAAAAUAAUAUUAUUAUUAAAUGUAAAAACAUAAGCUAAUGUUGUCAUCUUCCCCAUUUGAGGUCUUGACACCGAAACUCCAUAGUUUCAAAUUCUUCUAGUUUUGCUCUUGCUUUUAUUCACGCAGGUAAGUCCUCAUGCUAUUGGUUUUUUUUUUUUUUUGUAAAUUUUAUGUUUUCUAGAUCGUUGUAGUUUAAUCUAUCAAACUCAUGGAAUAAUUUGUGAUUCUAUCAAAGUUUUUAAAACUUUUCAUUGAUGUUCUUGUAGAUUUCUUGAUGUUAAUGUUUUGAUUUGAAGCUUGAUGAUGGAUUUGAACUAACUUGUAAAGUAAUUUUGGUUAGUUUUGAGUUUAAGGACUAAAUUGUUAAAUUAUGGAAAAUGACAUGAAUUUCUUCUAAAUUUCAGAAUCUAAGGGCUUUUUCAGGAUGAUAAUGAAUUCUUCAUAAUAUUUUGUGCUUAAUUAUGAAAAGUAAGCUUGUUUCCGUUUUAGGGAUUAAAUUGAAUAAAAUGCAAAAAUUUAGAAAAUUGUGAAAAAUGUCAUUAAAGAAGUCAUAUGCAUCAAAUGAACUUUUAUAAAGUAAUUGAGGCUGAUAAUUGAAAUAAAUUAUUGUAUAAAUCAAGAACCGGUAGAUAAUUAUGGAAGAGAGAAAAUUGUUGAUUAGUUUCUAAUAUUAUCAUCUUUGUUGUUUAGCCUUGAUAAGUUCAUACAAUUUAAUUUGGUAUAACUUGUAAUAUGUUAUUUAUUUUUGAAUUGGGGUAUGUUUAAUAAAUAUAUAUAUUUGAAUUGUUACAAAUUGGUCCAAGGUGAGAAAGUGCAUUGAAUUGAAAAGUACUAUACAAUUACUUAUAUCAAGCCCGAAUGGACAUAGAAUAUGAUACAAUUAGCAUGUCAAUAAAUUAUUUUGCGCACUGUAUGAGAUUGAUAUGUGAUGAGGUGACGAUACUGUUGGGAAAUGUGUCCAUAUUGUAGUAAACAUGUAAUUGUUUUCUAUUUAUUUGAAUGAUGAAUAAAUAAAUAAAAUUAAUUUCACAUUUCACUAUUAUAUCUUUUGUAUUUCUGUCUUUUAUAUUUUGCAUACAUAGAAAAAUUGUGACAAGCAAAUAUUAGCUCAUGGAUUGUCUAAGUUCAAACUGAAGGUAAGUGGCAUUAUAAGAAUGCUUGUAUUGUGAGAAAGACAACUUACUUCAAUAGAGAAUCUAAAUGAGUCCAUAAUCCCGUAAAAGAAUCAAAGUGAACAUUUGGUUCAAAUACUGAGAAGGAUUAUUAUGUCGUCUACAAUUUCAAUUAGGGAGAUGGCUAGUCUUGGCUAUUGGAGCAGUUGACUCUACGAGUAGAGACAUAUAUGUAUCCAGUAGUAGAAUGAUACAUUGAAUUAGACCUAAGAUGAAUUCAUUCUAAACCCGUUUGUGAAUUAAUUCACUUAUGACGUUCAAGGUGUGAUUUACCUAAAUUCUAAGUUAGUCACUGACCAUAUGCGUAUGCAACUCAUGUGCUUUGAUAUAAGUGGAGGCUUAUACUCUAAAGAUGAUUGAGCCCAUAGCCGAUAUGUUAGGUACAUGAUUUGCGUAUGGCGUGACUUUACUAGCAAAUGUGGAAUUCAUAACUCAAUUAAAGAGUUAAUGAUAUCCUCUAAUUGACAUUGUGUGGAUUGAUAAAUAUGGAACAUAGUCAAGGUUGAUGGUUCUCGAACCAGCAAUUUAUCACAGUCACUUGUUGAUAGUGAUCAUAUUAAUUAUUAAGAAGACACAAUGGUGACAAUGAGAUAAAAUAAGAUUGUAUUGAGUGAACGGAUUUAACUUAAAGGAAUCAAGGAUAUUAUAUGAGGGUAACACACACAUGACGAGGUCAUUGGACAAAACAAUUGAAUGAAUUGCUUUAGUAAAAAGUAUACAAUACAGAGUUUUUAAUCAUGAUACUUCUUGUAGACUGAUUCCAUGAUUAAGUAAUUGCGAAUUGUCGGAACAAUACUUCUAGACAUAAUUGCAAUUACUAGAGCCUAAUUGUAUAUGUUUGAUUGGUCCCUCCACUACAGAAUUGAACGAUGCAAGUGCGACACCCUUAAGGAACCUCAAGCCGGUUCGGCUGCUACCGGUUCAGUCAGGGUCAAUGAAAACCCGAUCGACCCGAUCAAGCCACCAGUUGGACUGUCAACCUGGUUCGACCAGUUUUGGGUCUUGGUUUUGGGUUCCCGAGCUCAAUUUACGAUCUUAGGUCCAAUUUUCAAGUUUAAUUACCCUUGGGAUAAUUGUCUGACUUGAAAAUUAAUUUCUAAAAAUAUCAUAUUAAUUUUAAUUAAUUUGAUUAAUUUAAUUUUACUUGAUUAAAAAUAAUUUUUCUAAAAAUAACUUAGAUUUUCCAAAUUAUUUUUUCAAUAAAAUUCUUUAACCAAAUUCUAUAGUUGAACAAUUCUCACGAUCACCUAAUUUAAUUUCAUAUCGAAUAAAUCGACUCAAUUAAAUUAUUUCCAAAGUCAUGGAAUUUUCUUCUGAUUUAGAUACAGUCCGAUCGAGCUUUUGUUGAGCUAGCGGAGGGACCAAUCAAACAUAUACAAUUAGGCUCUAGUAAUUGCAAUUAUGUCUAGAAGCACCGUUCUGAUAAUUCGCAAUUAUUUAGUCAUGGAGUCAGUCCACAAGAAGAAUCAUGAUUGAAAACUCCUUAUUGUAUAUUUUUUACGAAAGUGAUUCAUCGAACUAUUUUAUCCAAUGACCUCGUAAUGUGUGUGUUACCCUCAUAUGAUAUCAUUGAUUCCUUUGAGUUAAACAUGUUCACUCAAUACAAUCCUAUUUUAUCUCAUUGUCAUCAUUGUGUCUUCUUAAUAAUUAAUAUGAUCAUUGACAACAAAUGACUGUGAUAAAUUGCUCGUUCGAGAACCAACAACCUGUGACCAUGUUCCAUAUUUAUCAAUCCACACAAUGCCAAUGAGAGGAUAUCAUUAACUCUUUAAUUGAACUAUGAAUUUCACUGUUGCUAGUAAAGCUAUGCCAUACACAAAUCAUAUACCUAACAUACCGGCUAUGGGCUCAAUCAUUUUUAGAACAUAAGCCUCCACUUAUACCACACAUUCAUGCUUGAAAAUGGAUCCCACAACUUUGAAGAUAUGAUGAAUACCAUUGAUCAAUAGACAGUAAAAGAUAAUAUUUAAUAUGUAUUUUUAACUUCACAAACUUUCAAAUACAAUUUUUUUUAAUGGAAAUUCAAGCUUUCAAAGCAUAACACUAAUUUCACCCAUAAUUUUAAGUAACUAAAGGGAAAAAUGUUAAAAUUAUUCUAUUACGUUGAUCUGUUGUGUUUGAGGACUGUUAGCUUAUUGUGGUCGGGCUUUUUCAGCGUGGCCCAUUUCAUGAAAGUAAUUUUUUUUCAUCUAUAAAUAGGCCCGGCUCUAUUCAGCGGAGUUAUUAAAAUUUGAAAUAGCCUCCCGCCAGAAAUGAGUUCGAAAUAAAACGAGAUUUUCAAAAUGAAAGAAAAAGAAAAUCAAACUCCGCGAAAAGAACACCGACGAUCUUUAGAUCUCGCCAAUCGCCGAUCAAAUGAUUCUCCGGCGAAGAAAACUUCAAAGAAGGUCAGUGAUUCUGACCAAUAAUUUCUCAAUAUCCUCUCGUCAUUGUUUCCUCUGCAUUUGCGAGCUAAUUUAUUUAUUUUUCUUUGUUUCCCUUGCAGAUUGCUCAGAAGAGUUUAAUCGAAGCAUUCAUUUCCCCGAUCGAAGAUGAUUUAACUAAUAUUUCUGAAGAGUCCAUUGAUUUCUCUUCAAUUUCUGCCGUUUCAGAUGCUAAUUUCAACUUUGAAACUACUGAGGUACGAAUUAUUUACUUAGCUUUUUAUGUGUGUAUAUAUUUGAGUAAGAAUUGCAGGAGGUAGAUUAAAUUAAAUUUUAAUCUGAAUGCGCGAAUAAGCGUAAUCUCUGUUAUUGAUUUCAAAUAAUGGUUUAUGCGUUUUACUUAUGCUUUAUUCAACCGUCAAUAAGCGCGGUAAAAUAAAAUUCAAAUCUAUCUUUAUUUUCCGUGAAAAACUGUUCUCAAGGAUGAAUAGUAGUUUUUUCUUCCCUUCUAAAUUAUAUAUAUUUCAAGUUCCUUGCAAAAUAUUAUGAUAAUAUGUUCGAAAAUUUGGUUAGAUAAAUGAAAAAUGCAUAAUAGGUAGGUUCGGUUGUUAAAUUCUUUGCGUCUGUUUCAGAGCAUUGCCAUCACAUCGAAUCCAUUACUUUCAAGUUCAUCAGAAACUUUCAUAUCAUCUGAAAUCGGUCCUUAUUCAAAGAUAAGCGCUGCAAAUAGGGAUGAACCAAUUGACUUUUCAAAGACUGGUUUAGCGGAAGUAGAGAUUUUUCUGGAUCUUCUAAAACAAGCUCGGUUCCAAGCAUUGAAUUCUGCUCACUUGGAGAACAAAUCCAAGAAGGUUCUAGAUGCAUUAAUCGAGUUCACUAUUAAGGAGUUUUACACUAUGCCUCAAGAGAUAGAUAAGCUACAGGAAAUUGUUUCUAGAAAUGCUCAUGUCCGAUUUCUCUGCUUAUUGACUUGGGUUGUUGCGGUUUCCUUAUUUUCCUUGUAUUUGUUCUGCUAUUCAAGACCCGUUUGCUCUUUCACGGGACCGCCGCCAACUUGAAGGUAACUUUUACUGUUUUCAUGUUAAUUGGAUUUGGAUUUUCGGAUCAUCUUCGUCACUCCAUUUUGAUGACAUGUUACAGUUUCAAUGUGUAUAGUCUUGCUCUGAUCAUUUUCAUAAUUUCGUAUUAAUAAGACUGAUAUUGCACAUAUUAAUUAAGUGUUAAUUAGUUGAAUGAUUUUUAUAUUCAGAUGCUUGAUUGAUUCUAAGAUCUCUAAACUUAUUGCUAGUCACAAUUUUACCGAACAACCCAAGUCCCGGAAGAUCCCCGCACCAUGUCUAGCAAUUAUGAAAAUCAGGGAUUACAAUUUCAACCUUUUUUUUUUUACUUUAGCUUAGAUGGUAACAUGCUAAAACUUAAAUUGAUAGUAACUGAAGACUUAAAUUAGCAACAAGUACGGCAGUCUGGUUGCAUAGAUAUGCAUGUCUACCUCCUUUUUUUGUCCUUAACUGAUGAUGAUUUAAUGAAUUGGUCAAUAAUUGAACUUGUUUAUUGCAUGGUAAUGACUUCAUGCCCCUUCACGCUUAACAACUAAAGUCUAUUCUUUGGGUUGAGAACUCUCAAAGAAUUUGAAAGUAUGUUGUUUUGGCUCUUAUUUUUUAUGAAGUACUUCUGUCUAAUGAUUUUCUAAUGACCCUUCAAAAACAUGGAAUAACUUAGGAAAAAUUAACAUACUUGUGCUGGUACAUACUCAUUCGAUAGUCAGACCCUUGUCUGACUAACAGUAUAGUGUAUUUAGAUAUUUGACAUGCCCAGAUUUAUUUUCCUGCAACUAGACUGUCAAGACCAUAUAUUUUGACCUCUUCAUAUAGCUUGUGUGUGGCUGUAUUGUUUAGUAUUCAGUAGUGGGUCCAAUGUUCAAAGCUAUCACUGUUUCAUAUUUUUGUUUGUUAGACUUAGCUAAAACAAGUCAACCUAUCAUUCGCAUUAUUCGAAUGAAAUGCAACCAAAAGAAAGCAUGACUGCGUGAAAAUUGUAGUAUGAGCAACACCAGUCAACUUUACAGUGGCUCUUAGUUCACAGGAAUGGACAAGUUUUAUAUUUAUGUUAUCAACUAUUACUAUCCUUGAAGUAAAUAAACUAUUUAGGUAAUAGGAUAGGACUGCCUUAUAGGGGUGAUAAUUAGGAAUUUGUGAGAAGGAAUGGGAAUAUUCUGAGAUGGUGAAUCAUUAGAUAUGGAGUUAAUAUGAUUAUAUUUAAAUUUUAAAAAAAAUUAUGACAGGUCAUACAUGAUAAACAUAUUUAAUUAUGUGUCAAGCACAAUAUUAAAUAUAAAUUCUUGAGAGUAAAAAGAAAUAGAUAAAACAUUGGUAACAUAGAUGGUGACACCAAAUGAAAUCUUAUAAACUCUUUCUAUGAAAGUGGUUGCAUCAGGGGAUAAGUGAGUAAUAAUGUGAAACCUAAACUCGUAGUUGAAUCUUAGUUUAGUUGAUUCAAUUGAUUGGAUGUUCGAUUUAAAAAAUUUAUAAAAAUAAUAAACAAAUAAAUAUUAAAAAAUUUACAACUAAUUGAGUUUUUUAAUUUUGGGUUUCUAGUUUUUUUAUAGACUGAUAACAGUUUCCUCUAUUUUUUUUAUACCACCGAUUGAAUUCUUGGAAUCAUUAAUUUUUAAUUCAAUUAGUCAAGUUUGAUAAUAAAAUUGAAGAGGAUUUCACUAAAGCAUGUCAAGUAGGGGAUUUUUUCCUCUAGUGAUGUGAGUCACCUGAGGGAAGUUAGCUGGAUUUUAGAGUUAAGGGUUUGGUGGAAUCCACAAAACUUUUGUUUGUUUACGAAUGAGAGCAUGAUUAAGACCCACUUAAAAAUGAAUAAAUACAGCUAAACUUUGAGGCAUGGUUGUACAUAAAGAGCUGAGAUUCGAUGUAAUCCACCCACACCUAUAAUAUAGUUAAAGCCCUUUUUUUAAUGAGAGGUCUAGCUGUACUUAAAAGCAAGGUUUAGUAUAAUAAAAUGAAAAUUGGAGUUAUCAAUGAGGGAUUGCGACAUAAUCAUUGAAUGUUUUGCUUUUCGCAUCAAGUGUUUUUGUGCUAAAAUUUGGAUUAAUCAUCAAGAUAUAACUUUUCAUGAAUCACAAAUUGACUCAAUUUGUUUGUACUUGUGAUGCCCAAUGAAGGAUCUUUAUUGGGAUCAUUAGAGAAAUUUAGAAGGUAAAAACAAAGGCUAAGAAGUUCCUAUAAGCAUUUAUGGAGUACGUUGCUGUCACUCUGUACUUAUAGUUAAACGCUGAAUGUAUUUUUACUUAUUUACGUUGCUCAACCUUAUAUAACUUUAUAGUCCAGCUUAACUACGAAAUUGAAAUUGACUUCAAUUCAAAAUUUUUAAUUUUUAAAUUUGAUUUCAGAAAAAAAUCAAAUUAUUUUUUAACUUUGUCCAUUAUACUCAAUUAAAACUUGUUUAUUUAAUAAAAGAUAUUUAAAUGCAUAAUAUAAUUAAAAAACUUGAUAAACUAUUAAAUUAGCUUGAAGGCCCGUCUGAAAAAUGAAAGAGUUUAGGUAGAAAUAUAGGCCAAAAAAUAUAUAUUUGUAGUAGGAGCAACUUUUAAGAUGGUUCUUAGAUCACAUGCAUCCACUAGUUUUAUAUGGUUUUAAAUAUGUAAUUUUUAAAAAUUUAAAAUUAGUGUAAAUUCGAGUCCUUGAAUUCUUAUUUUUAUAUUUAAAAAUUUUGAUUUUUUCAUAGUUUUAUUGUUAAAUUUGUUUGACGUGGCUGUUAUAAAAAUAGUAAACUAACUUUUUUAGCACUAAUCAUUUAUAGUUCUUUGUUAAUUUAAUAUUUAUUUUUUAAUCAAAAAUAAAUAAUUACAAAAAAUACUUUAAAAUUAAAAGUGUUUUUUAAUAAAAAUAUAAUAUUGUGAAAAUUUUAAAACUCUUAAAAAUAAAAAAUAAUUUUGAAAAUUUUAUUUCAAAUAAUUUUAAAAAAUGGAAAAUUAAAAAAUGUGUUAUUUACUUCAUAAAUGAUAAUAAGGUUUCUCUAAACUUUGAGCUAUUCAUUGGGUUAAUAUUAAAUCAAAUUUGAACAUUUUUUUUUCAUUUUAAAUUAGAUUAAUUAUAUAUCAAAAAUGUUUUUUUAUGUAAAUUUAAUUAUAAAGUAUAUAAAAUAAUUUUUAUAUAAUGAUAUAAACUUUGAAUAAGUUUAGAUUAAAUUUAAUAUACUUUUUUUUUGUUCUAAAUAUAUUAUUUAAAAUAAUGUUAGAUAGAAAUGGACUCCAUUUUGGUAAAAUACAAAAGUAAUAAAUGAAGUCUUGUGCAUUUAAAAAAUUAUACAGCAUAAUUCAGUUUAAUUUGAAUCGAUUUAGAUUUGUGUAAUUAUUUAAAAAUUAUUUUACAUUAAUAUUUUGUAUAAUUAUAAUUAAAUUUAAUUAAAAUUAUUUGUGAUAUAUAAAUUAUUUGAAUUAAAUUAAAAAAUAUUUGUUCAAAUAUGAUGUACGGAUUGAAUAGAGUUCGAACUUUGUAGAGACUUUAUUACCUUUAGAAGUGUUUAUGGGCAAGGUUAAGUUGAGGUUGGAUUUAAAAAGAAAUAGCUUCGAGUUCGUUUAAUCCAAAUGAAUCAUUUAUUUGUUUAAAAAAAUAAAAAAAUUAUAUUAAAUUUAAUUAUAAAAUUUAAUAUUUUAACAUUGAGAUGGGCAGCAUAAGUUGAAAAAUAUAAACCCAAAUUUGUUCUAAAAUGAGUUAAGUUGGUUGGAUCAUAUAGUCCAUAAUCGUCUCUUGUUAUCAUUCAAGAAGUAAAUAAUAUUGUUUUUUGAAAUUUUGACAAUGUUUUUGGAACUAGAUUAAUGACAGAAUCAGUCAAAUCAUUGGUUCUUAAUUUAAUUGGUCCGAUCGAUUUAAAAUAAACAAAUUAUUAUUAAAAUUCAAAAAAAAUAUUUAAAAAUUAGACAAAUAAGCGAACACUUUUUACAUAAAAAUAGAGGUUCAAUAUCUCAAAAAUUAAAAUGUAAAAAUUAAAUUUUAAUUUUCAAAAAAGUAGAAUGAUUUUUAUAUAUUUAUGUCAUCAAAUAUUACAGUUGUUGAAGAAAAUAAAAUAGUUGGAUAAAAUGAUAGAAGGACAACGUACAAGGAAUGGUAGGGUAUUGUAGAUGAGGUAGACAGGAAUUUGGAGAUGGUGAGAUAUUUUAUAUGAAUUUAGGCCACUACUCGGAUAAGAAUACAUAACAUAUCAUUAGAGUUAUAUUGUAUUUUGUUUCUUUUACUCUAAAAAUAAAUAAAUUAAUCUAUGUAUGUUAGAUCAAAGAGCAAAUUGGUCAUUUUUAUUAAAAAUUUCAUCUAUUUUUACUAUUAAAAACUAGCAUGAUUGAUAGAAUAAUCAGAUAGUUACAUGUGGUGUGCCACGAGUACCUUAUACUAAUGUAUAUGAACCAACUUUUACUAGUAACAAUGGGUACAAUUUUUAACAAAACAACCAUUGCUUUCUAAUUUAACGUAUAAGGACUAAUUUGUCCAUUUUUUAAAUAGAAAUAUUAAAAUACAAUCCAACUUUUAGUACAAAGACUUCCACGAUACUUUUACUUGAAUUUUUUUUUUCAAAUCUCAUAUAUCUAACACAAUUAUUAGAUAUUGGUAACAUAGAUGGUGUCACCAAAUGCAAGCUUAUAAACUCUUUAUACAUAAGUGGUUGAAUGAGAUUUGGAUUUCACUAUACCAUCCUAAGUAUUGAGUUUUUCUCUCCUUGGUGAUGUGUGUCACUAUGAGCUGAAUUAAAGCUUAGAGUUUGGUGUAUUAGAUUAAAUUCUACUAUUAUUCUUUGUUAUUAGAAAAAGUUGUGGAUUUAAUUUUUGAGUUUUUAUUUGAUUAAUUUUAGUUAUUAUAUUUUUUGAAUUGAUAAAUUUUAAUCUUUUUCAAUUUCAAAAUUUUAGUUUUGGCCCAAAUACUAACAGUUAAAUUUGUUUGGUGAGAUUCAAUUAUUAGUUUUAUACUAUGCACAUAGUUGUAGAUUUAGUUUAUUUUUUUCCAAUUGGAUCAUUUUAAGUCCCUAUACUUUUCGAAGUUUGAAAUUUUAGUCUUAAUGCAAAUGAUAAUCAAUAAUUCAUUAACUGAAUUUUUAGUGAGUAGUAAUAUGUGGAAAUAAUAAGUUGACAUGAGAUUACACAUAUGAUAAUAUGUUUGGCACAUCAAAAUUUGAAAAUAACAAAACUUAGAGGUGCUCACGAGCUCGGUCAGUCCAAUACAAGGUAUCUAGACUAAUUUUUCAAGCCCGAGCUUGUCCCCAAAAAUGGAUUUAUUUUUUUUUUUGUCUAAACCCGACAGGUCACCCAUAUUUGAUAUUUUUUAGAGUAGUUUUUAUUUAAGAAUAUAUAUAUUUUUAAAAAUAUAAUACACUAAAUGCAUUUAAAAAACAUUAAAAUAAAAGUUUUCUGAUACAUUAAAAAGUAUUUAUAUUAAAAAAAAACUUCCUUUAAACAUAAUAAAUAUUUUGUUGUAUUAAAUAUAAUUUUUAAAAUUUUACAUUUUAGGUUGGAUUAUUUAGUUCCGAAUUUUUUUAAAAAGUUUUGGUAAUGAGUUUAAUUGUUAUUGGGUUAGUGGUUUAGUAUAAAUAUAAAUGGCCCAUUUGGCAAUUGGUUGAUAGCUGAUUGUUGAUUGCAGUGGUUGAUUUGACCAACUGAUUCUAUUAAUUAUUCAUUUGAAAGUGUUCAAUAAAACUUAGUUGAUAGUCGAAAGCUGAUAUGUGUAAAAUGACAAAUAAGGGCAUGUCACAUUUUAUUGCUAAAGUAUUUAUUUGUUUAUAAUACUUUAGUUUUUAUUGGGUGAAAUUAUUGAAAUAAAACACUAUUAGCAAGGAAUUAGAACAUCCAUUAUGGAAAUUAAUUAGUGAAUAUUUUUCAAAAUUAAAAUAAACAAAAUUAUUAAAUUCUUUAUUUGCAAAUAUUAACCUUGUGGAAAUUGAUAAAUAUUAAUAGUCUAUCAAUAUAAUUGUAAACUAUAUUUUUAGUGAUAAUUAUGUCACACUCUAAAAAAAUUUGUCAAGUAGCAUAUUUCAAUUAAUAUAAAGUUGCAUAAGAAAUCAUUUUACAUAAUUAAAUUGGAAAUAAAUUAAGAGUACGUAAAAAUUCAAGGAUAAUUGGGUUCGAUUGAAAAUGGGCCUUAAAUUUUACCUAAUCUCAUUUUUAGGUGAGCUUUUGGGCUUGGAUAAAUGGCCAGAUCCAUGAGCAGGUUUGACAGAUGUUUACUUUAUGGAUUUAACAAUUAUUAUUUGAAGAGUAUUGAAAUUUUAAAAAUUAAAUUCCAUAAUUUUUAUUAAAUACAAAGAAUUUAACCGAUGUAAUUUAUCCACAAAUCUUUUAGGUGUAGCUGUAUAAAAAGAGGUGAGAUUCGAUGUAAUCAACAAACCCCAUUUCUCUUUUCCCCUAUGUGAGGUGUAGCUGUACUUUAAAGCAACGUUUAGUAUAAUAAAAAGGAAAUUUUAAGUUAUGAAUGAGGGAUUGUGACAUAAUCAUUGUAUCUUUGCUCUUCAUUAAUAUCUGUUUUUCUGCUAAAAUUUGGAUUCAUCAUUAAGCUAUACCUUUUUCUGCAUUUAAUGAAUCUGAAAUUGACUCAAUUUAUUGCUACUUGUGAUGCUGACUGUGUAAUAUUUAGACUAUUAAUGUCUGAAAUUAUCUAGAGUUUUUCUUAAAUAUAUAAAUAGGAGGAUGAUACGUUUCAGUGAACUCAAACUCAUGUUUUCAUGCAUUGAUAACGAUAUUCAUGCCAAUUGAGCUAAAGACUCAAUCAACCUCUCUACUUAUAGUUAAAAACUCAAUGUUUUUACUUAUUUAGGAUUUUAUUGAAUCGUAGGUAACUUUAUAGUCAAGGGUUUCAAUUAGGAUGCAAUUGAGUGGAGUCAAGUUUAAGUUGUAAAAGAAUUUGACUCGAGCUUAAUUCAAAGUUUAAAAUUUAAAUCUGACAGAAGUUUUGCUUUUAAAACUUAAACUUGAUUUGAAAUAAUAAAAAAAAAGAGUAAAUUAUUCUUUAGCUCGGUCGAAUGGACUUAAUGAAAACUUAUUUACUUGGUAAAAGAUAAACUCGAUCCUUUAGCUUUUUGCUCGAGUCCAAACUCAAAUUUGAAUCGAGAUUUGUAAAUAGUAAUUAAAAAGUUCGACCAAGUGUUGCUGUGAUAAAGAAUUCGUCUCCAUUUCCUUUUACUGCCUACUUUUACCCAUCCCACAAUGAAGAAGGCCUAAGAAAAAACAAAUUUUUGGCAUGAUUAUAUGAACUCAAAGAUUGUAGAGAUGACAUCUUGGCAGCAGAUAUUGUACAUGUAAACCCAUGCUAUAAAAACUGCUCUUUUUCUUUCCAUUAUUUUUGGAGUCAUACCAAGUAAUGGGGCCAUGUUUGCUCUUCCUUUCCUUUCCUUUUUUCUCACUUGAUAUCUGCUCUAUACAUGUCAUGUUACCUAAAAAAUCUGCUCAAAACCUUUUUAAAUUUAUGUGUCAGCUGUCUUUUUAUUUUCUAAAAUAUUUGUAUCCCAUUUAUAUUCCCACUUAAAUAUUAAAAUUAUUUACUACCAUAAAUAUAAUAAAUGUUUUAUUAUAUUAAAAACAUUCUUUUAUUAUAUUAAAUAUAAAAUAUAAAAUAUAAAAUUUUAUAUUUUGAGUUGGGUUAAUUUUUUUUAGGUUUUGGGUAAUGAUUUAAUUCUUUUUGAGUUAGUGAUUUAAUAUAAAUAUAAAUAUAAAAUUAUUAUUUAACAUAUAUAAUUAAUAUAAUAUUGUUUUAUACCAUAACGUUCGAGUCGGAAUCAAGCCAAAAAAUAUUGCCUAAGGUCCUCCCCAUAUAAAAAGUGGACUUUAAAUUUUACCCAAAUUCUUUUUUCGAGUCUUAUAUUUUAUCCAAAUCUUCUUAUUUUUUAGACAAACCUUUAAACCUAAACAAACCACCCGAGCCAUGAGUAAUUCUCCUCUCCCCCUUUAAUUAGAACUUGGGGUGAGAAUUAACUCUUUGGCCAAAUAAAGUAAGAUAGCUUUUCAAUUUUAUUUUGAUGGAGUAAUAAUUAGGGUUGAAUCCCCAUUUCCAAACCUGGUUUAAAAUAAAUGUUUGAAGCACUCACUCUUCACCAUGCUUUAUCAUGUCGCACACAAGGGAGGCAGUCUCUCUGGCACCUCAUUAUGUCAACUAAUUUUCAUUACAUUAUUCUUAAUCUUUAGAAAAAGAAAAAAAAAUUCAAUUGGCAUGCACAUGGUAAAAUGAUUUUGGCUGUUGAUUAUAUUAGAAUUUGGGGCAUCUGCUUUUUAUUAUCUCAAGGGAAAGAAAAAAUGGGUUUUCAUUUAUAUAAAUAUAAAUAUUUUUAUUUUUAUUUUUUCCUUUCCAUAUUAUCUUUUUCAUUUUAGAAUUUGACUUAUAAAUAAUUUAUUUGAUUUUUAAAAAUAAAAGAAAAUGGCAGAAAAACUACCCCAUGACUCUUGCUUUGGAGAAAAAAGAAAAGAAGAGAAAUAUAAAUAUCUAUAAACUUAAACUACAAAUAUUAUAAAAACACACAAAUUAAAUAAGAGGAAAAAAAAACUCUACGUAAAAAGUGACCUUAUGCAAACAACCUGUUGACCCAAUGGCAAAAACAUUAUGUUGUAGGCAUGAGAGCUUAGGUUCAAUCUCAAACAACCCUAUUUCUAUCUCCCGAUUAUCAACAUCUUGUUCAUCUUAAUUGUAACCUUCAAAAGAAGUUAAAAGACGCUAAUGUGUAACUCUAAAAAGUUAAAAAAAAUUAAUUUGAUAUAAAUAAAAACCAUUUACUUAAACAAUAAAACAAUAUUAUAAAUAGAUAUAUAGAUUAAAUAUUUAUAAUUAAAGCAUUAUAAAAAUCUAGUUAAAAAAAUACUAAAUUAAUAUGUUUAACGAUAAAAUUUAAAAUUAUUCAUAUUCUCAACAUUUAAAAAAAUUCUAUUUAACUUGUUGCAUGCACACACGUAUAUAGAAAUUAAAUUAUUAAAAAAUAAAAUAAAAAUCUAAUAAAAUAAUUUAAUAAUAAAUAUAAUAUUUAAAAUACAAUUAAUUCAAAUAAAUAUUACAAAAGUAACUUCCAACAAAUUAAAAAAAACAAUCAAUAGCAUAAAUAAUUAAAAUAAUUAAAUCUAUCUAUUCUUAAUAACUUCCAAAGGAGUUAGUUUUUUUUUUUUGAUGAAUUAUAGGAGGAGAGUUAAACUGUAACUAGCGCGCCUUGAAUUUAGGUCAUAUUCAAGACAGUAAACACUCUGAUCAUCAGGUCAACACGAAAUUUAAGGGUUAUAUAGAUGUAGACUAUUUUCUUGAAAGGGGUUUAUGAAAGCAAAAGAGAGAAGAAAUGGGGGGACCCCAAAUGGCAUGAAAUGCGGAGCAGAGCAUAACUGUCCACACCUCAGAAAGUAGGGAAAAUUCCAAAACCCCCUUCGCUUCUCCCAACAAAAUACGAAACAAAAGCCCAAGCAUAACCAUUGUAAAGUGCCCACCCAAACACCUAACCCACAUCCCACAAGCGUUUUUGCCCUUUUUUAUUAUUAUCAACCAAUCACCAUUGCACGGUGUGAAAAUGGGAACCACCCGGUCAAUUAGUGGAAGCCAACACGACACCUGCCUCCAAUUACACCUUCACACCUCAUCUCUCUUUCCCUUCUUCUUUUCUCCUUGCUAAUUUUAAUAUUUUGGGACACUGAAAUUGUGUGGAUUUGCUUGGUUUUGAGGUAAAUUUUGGUGGAAAGUCAGCUUUCUCAACUCUCUUUUUUUGGGCCAAUGCAGAGUAUUCCAAACCCAGGUGAAAAUGGUUUAGUAUCGGGAUUUAGAUAUUUAUGUUCGAUAUUAUCUUUUGGUUUUGACAAGAAUUAUCAAGGAUUUACGAAAUAAAAAUACUUUCACCGUUAAAAAGAUCUCAACGUUUCCUCUUUAUGAGAUUUAACUCAUAAAACUUAGAGAUAAGAUCGAACAUAUACUCUAAGCCCAAUAAUAAACCUGAUGAGGGAGUCAAUAAAAGGCACUUCACAAAUUUCUCCUUGAAUAAUCAAAAUUCCCUUAAUAAAAAUAUACAUUUAAUGUAUUUUAUUAUUAAAUUUUGACUAAAUCGAUGUUACAAAUUAUUUAAGCACCGAUUUAAUUAAAUAAAAUAUUACAAAUGUAUUUUUGUCUUAUUUUGCUUUUAUAUAAAAAUUUAUAAAAAAAACUUGCACUAAAGUUUAUAAAACCUUAAAUUUGUGACUUAUGACAUUAUGCAUCAACAAGGGUGUGGUGUGGCUUGUUUCAUCGUACAAAAUGCACGUGUCAAGCUAGCUAAGGAAGGGUGGAAGCGAAGGCGAGCCCCCUAUGGCUUAUCAGCAAAUCCCGCCUCAUUUGGACUGGCCCUUACCAUUUCACUGCACCAAAGGUCGCAUCCACUUCAGCCAAACCCAAUAUCCUCCAACCCAUAAGCAAUAAAUAAGCGUUUCCAAGGUAACUUUAACGCCUCCUCUCCUCUCUCUUUAAAAACAACAAAUUAUCGAUUCCGUUCUUCUCUGACCAUCUUUCUUCUCUCAAUUUUCACUGCCUCUUCAUCACAUCGGUAAUAUUUUUCUUUUCCUUUUUCUUUUGUGGAAUUUUGAUUUGAAUCUGUUUUUUCUUUUAUCUAAAAAUUCUGAAUCUGAACUCCUUUUCCAGACAGUUUCAGUUAUAAUUCACCGAAUCGUACGGUGAGAGAGAGAAUAAUAAGGCGUUUUGUCCGGUGAGAUGGCAUCGUUGAUAACGAAUCCAGUGACGAACACAAAUUCUGAUCGUAGCAACAGGAAAAAGAAGAAGAAUUCUAUGGUGAAACAGAAUCUUCAACGGAGCCAAAAGGAAGAUCAUGCCAGAUGGAAGUCAGAGGCGCAGCAGCAAAUCUAUUCCUCAAAGCUUCUUCAAGCUUUGAGUCAGGUCAGUCUCGGUACUCCCUCUCCUUCGGCUCCACGCGGUGGUCGAGCUGUCCGUGAAGCCGCUGAUAGAGUGUUGGCGGUUGCUGCUAAAGGGAGAACCAGGUGGAGCCGGGCAAUUUUGACGAGCCGGCUUAAACUGAAAUUUAGAAAGCAGAAGAGAUCACAGAGAGGAUCCGCUGCUGCCGUUGCUGCCGCAACAAGGACUAGCCGGUCGAAGAAACCGAGAGUUAGCGUUUUGAAAUUGAAAGCGAAAAGUGUACCGACUGUUCAAAGAAAAGUAAAGGUCCUAGGCAGAUUGGUUCCCGGUUGCCGGAAGCAACCGUUACCGGUAAUUCUUGAAGAAGCAACUGAUUACAUAGCGGCACUUGAGAUGCAGGUUCGAGCCAUGAGCGCUCUCGCCGAUCUGUUAACUGGCUCCGGAGCCGCAAGCUCUAGCUCGGCUCCUCCGCCUGAGUGGCCAAUGCCGCCGACCAGCCAAUGACGCUUUUUUAUUCCCUUAAUUGACAAAUGCCAAGUGUCAUCCUCAUCUUUUUCCCUUUUUUUUAAUUCUUAUUAUUAUUAUUAUCUCCUCUUUUGCCCUUCUCUCUCUUUCCUCAUCAAUCACCUCUUCUGUUAAGUACAUUAUUCUUCCCUUUCAUUUCACAAAAAUAAUUUAAAUAUCUCACAUUUUAUUUCAAUUUACUACAUUAAAAAGAAAAAAGAAAAAAGGAGGGAUCGUCCCCCUUACCAUGCAUACAAACAACUCCUCUGGAAAUAUAUUGGAAUAAGCAAAAUGUUUUAUGAUUAUUUUGGAGGGUUUGAUUUUGACGAUAAGAAAAAAGAGAGGAAGCUGGGUCCAAACUAGGGUAGGUGAACAAUGCACUUGAUGCUGCACCCAUUGGCUGCUAAAGUUAAUUUUUUUUUCUUAUUCUUUUUCAUUUUUCAGAAUAUGAUAAUUGUACUUACUUCUAAUUUAAUUUGAAAUUGAAUUGAGUUAGAUAAAUAAAAGAGAUAUAACUCUUUCAGUAUUAAUGGUUUAUUUAUAAGCUUUAAACCCUAAAUUUUACUUAAAGAAUUUUGAUAUUUAUUUAAACAGAAGUUUUAUUUAAUAUAAUAUCUAAGUUCUAACUGCUAGGUAUGGUUAAGAAACAAAGAUAUUUUGUAUUUUAUUUUUGCAUUAUAAGAGAAAGGUAAAGUCUUAACAAAACACAACUAGCAUGAUUCGAAUUUAUGUCACAUUUGAAACGGUGAUCGUUAGGUCAACACACAGGGUUAAAAUAUUUUGCAUUUUUAGUAUACCUACAUUCCAACACCAUGAUUUUGCGGGUCAACAUCAUUGAUGAGAAAAAAUUUAAGAUUUUGCAAGCUUAAAAUUUCAUUCAAUUCGAAAAUAAAAUAGACAGGACAAAAGGUGUUUGAGUUUUUGAAUAUGGAAAUUUUUUUUAGAUAUUUUAUUUAAGAAUCGAGGAGGAAUUAAUGAAUACGAGAUAUGGAUGGAAAUAAAAAGAGCAGAGCAGAGUCCAAAAGUUGCGGAGGGAGCACGGGGGCGGCAAAAAUAGUAAAGAGAAGUGUGGCAGGCAGUUGGGUGACAGUACAUGUGAGAGAGAGGCGGCCGUGGAAACUCAAAUGGUGGAUGUGAUUGAGGUAAUUCAAAGGGGAUUCAUGCACUGCCUAUACACAAAGAUGACAGCCUGCUGGUGGUGGGUUGAAGUUAUGGGUAAAUGACUCACUCUCACAGUGCAACUAAUGGGCUGCCAUGCCUUGCCUUCUGCAUCAGCAAAAUUAUCAAAUAGGGGAUGGGGUUUGGCAGAGACGACUACCGUCUGAGACUAGACACAUCACACCUGCUCCACCCAUCCCAAUACCUCCAGUCAAACAUUCUUUUGUACCAGAGACUGCAUUUUAUAUAUGACCAAGGCAAGAUAAGGCAACGGCCAAGCUGUGAACAAGGGUCAACUGUGGUGUUGGUAUGAGUUUGAUUCUUCUCAUCUAUGCCCAUGCACAAGCUGAAUUUGAGGUGUCAACAUCCACCCACCGGCCACUUGUUGGCUCUGAUUGGAUGUCCAAUUUUUAAGCCAACAUUACAUUUCAUUGCCUCUCCUUCCCCCUUGGGAGUAUUCUUUUUACGUGAGUUUGAAAUUCGUCGCUUCACCUUGUAUUUUUUUUAAUGAU